CGGUCCCGCAGCAGAGGGCACCUGAGAAUUUCUAGGCAUUCAAGUGUAGCAGGAAGGCCCUCAGCUGGGAAGGACUGCAGUUUUGGGCACAUCCCAAUUGAUAAUUUUUCAAGAGAGGUGAGCUUUUGGAUACCGCUGGAUAUGGAUUUUAGAUUCUUGAAUCCAAUAAUGUAUAGGUAGGUAAGAGAAGUGGGAAGCAGAAAGCCGUCGUUAUCUGGAAAGGAAAUAAAAUCUCCAGUUGACGCCAUGUCCAUCAGAAACAAAGUUCUAAGAGAGGCGAGUCUGUGGAGUCCCCACUCUACCAUUGGCUGUUUCAUAUUCAAGCACCACCGAAUAUCAAGGGAAGUGAGGUUUUGCAUCUGAUUGGGUAGAGACCUCAAAUUUUCGCACCAGAAAAUUUGAAAUGACACAAGCUUGGGGUUGGGCAAUCCCAUCUCUGGGAACAACUCUAAUCGAGGACAGUUCCAUAUUUGUAACUUUUGGAGACUCUGGAAGUCUUGCAUAUGAUUGGAUAGAGACCUCAAUCCUUCACAGUCAUCGAUUCUUAAAUAGAUAAGAGAAGGGAGAGGCAAUUCCUUCCCUGGAAACGACUCUAAUUGAGGACACUUCUCUAUGUGUAAUUCUGUAAGAUGAGAAAGCCCACAGGAUAGCGAGUUUAAAAAUUGUGGCGUCGAGUUGGGAAUUCGAAGAGUCUUAAGGGAAUAUGGAAACUUUCCAUUUGAAGAGCAUCUGAGGGAUUCACAUUCAGAGAUAUACAAUUUCUCUUGAUGAGACGUCUCGCCACUGUAAUUACAAGGACACACAAUUCCCUCCGGCAGAGACUCCAAAGAUUCACAGCUCAUAAUACGAAGAUGUAUCAAGUUGUGCGGCAAACCCCCUGCUGGGAAGGAGACUAAACUUGUACAUCCGUAUAUAGUCAAAUCUUGGAGAGAUUUGAGGUCUUUCAGUCCACUUGGCAACUCCUUCAGAUUUGGACACUCAUAUAUAUUCAAAACUUCAAGAUUGCAAGGCAAAAGCCCUGGCUCUCCAUCUACCAACGACACAAGCUCAUCACAUAACUUGAUUUCCAAAUACUUUAGACUAGUAAGAAUGGUGGCAUUAGUCACACUCCUGAGAAUUGCCUCUUGACAUUUUUCAAAAUGAAGUCUUGUAAGUGAUGGGAGAACUUUUGGUAAUUCAACCAAAAGCGGGCAAUCAUCGAUAACAAGAUUUUCCAGGGAAGGAAGGAAGUUGGGCAGUUCUCCAACCAACUUGGGACAAUUUCGUAUUUGGAGUUGAUGCAGCUUAGGAAAUUUUGGCACAGAAUCUUCACCCAGACCUUUAGACCAAGCCCACAGCUCCCACUCACCCAUAUUUCUAAUCUCUAGUUCUUCCAAACAAGAAAAACAUGAAUCAUCCUCAUAAAACUCAACACCCACUUCUUUCACUCCACUCAUAUCUCCUAUGCUCAACUUUUUUAAUGACUUUAAUCGUCCAAGUGGUGGCAACGAUGUCAUUUGGCGACACUUCCAUAGCUGCACCUGCACCAUGCCAGAGAAUGAAGGCUCACCCAGCCAUGAUGGGAAUUUCCUACCACCAAAUGAUGUAAUUGAUAGGCUUGAAAGACUUCGAUAUGGCUGAAUUGAGUUGAGAACUUGUUCUUCAUGACUUGGGUUUCUCAAAUCAUCGAAACGUUCAUCAGCUUCAGCCCAUUCCAAGUGCAACUCAGUGAUACCAGGCUUAUCCUUCAAAUUGACAAAACCCGCAUCUCGAAUAUCUGCUACUUCCACAUUCUCUAAACUUGUAAUAUGAAGCUGCCCUCGAAGAUCACAAAGUUUCUUUAGUUCUGUGAUCCGACCAUUGCUUUUCCCCACGAUAAAUUUGGUCAACACGCAGAGACUAGUCAAAUUACCAAUAUGUGGUGGCAUCUCUUUCAAUUUCCUUGUGCCAAUAAUGUCAAGAUGCUGCAAGUUGAGUAAAUUGCAUAUGCCUUUAGGUAACUCAAUAAGCUCAUCACAAUCACGCAACUUUAAUGUCUGUAAGUUGAAGAGUUUAUCCACUGAUUCAGGCAAUCCUUGGAUUGGAGUAUCAGAUAGGUUAAGGUAGCGUAAGUGCUUCAAGUCACCAAUAGAAUUUGGCAACUCCUUAAUCUCAUAACGAGCUAGAGAUAGUGACCUUAAGCAUUUUAAUUUUGGCACCAACUCAUGCACCACCUUACUAGUUAAGUAGCAUCUCACCAAAUAACGACGACUCCAGGAUAACAAUGUCCGCAAGUUCUUCAUUUCACAGAAGCUUUGAAAUCUUUGAAAAGUGUUCAUAAAAUGAGGAAUAAAUGAAGAAUGUCGAAUCUUUGCAAAUGAUUUUGUACUCUCCAACUUAUCAACCAUAUGUAAACAUGUUUCCCUACUAACAUAGCGAGCUAAAUCAACAAUUAGGUCAUGCAUUAUAUAUUUCGAUUUAUUAUCAUUUGAUUGUUGAAAAAACGAUCUUGAUAAUAAAUCAUCAAAAUAUUUAUGACCCAAACCUUCACUGUCUUUCAUUUUCUUCUGGUCAUACAAGAAACCCUCAGCCAUCCACAGCAAAACCAAUUCAUUCCUAUCAAACUCGCGAUCCUUUGGUAGUAUUGCGCUAUAAGAGAAACAUCGCUUCAAAUGAGGUGGAAGAUGAAGAUAGCUCACUCUCAAGGCUGGAAGGAUAUUGCUCUUGUCGUCUGGUAACUCCCAUAUCUCAUUCCUCAACACUUCCUUCCACAAAUCAGGAUUCGGUUUACCCCUUAAGAUGCCUCCAAGAGCUUUUGCUGCCAAAGGUAAUCCUCCACAUCUUUCGACAAUCUCGUCACCCAUUUGUUUCAGCUCCAAGUGCGCGUCAAAAUUAUUUGCUCCCAAAGCAUGCUGGGCAAACACAGACAUGCAUUCAUUGUGCGACAGCUUCUUAAGAGCAUAUGCUUGAGUCGUACCCAUCAUUAAUGAAACAUCCUGAAUUCGAGUCGUGACGAUAACUCUGCUUUGAGGAGCCCCUGCUUCAAAAGGACCCCAAAACAGAGUCCAUUCCUCAUAGUUCUGGGUCCAGACAUCAUCUAGGACAAGUAAAAACUUCUUCCCAGACAACUUUUGCUUCAAUUUUACCUGAAGCAGAUUCAAAUCUUUAUCAUCACCGCCAUCGCCCAGUUGACGAAGAAAUGUUUCUGUGACCCUGGAAACAUCAAAAUCUUCGCCAACAGAAACCCAGGCUUUCAAAUCAAACUCCAACGUGGGAUCAUUGUAGACUAGCUGAGCUAGGGUUGUCUUGCCAAGCCCUCCCAUCCCAACUAUGGGAAUCACAGAGACCUCCGCAUCACUUGUCUGAGCAUUCAACAAUUUCAGCAUCGCCUUCUUAUCUUCCUCCCUACCAUAAACCUUCGCUUCAUUAACCAAAGAGGUUGCAGGCGGUCUUUCUGUCACAUGGCUCACCCUCCUCGUAGUAUAUUCUGCUAAACGGAGUUCAUCUUUCUGCUUUAUGAUCUCAUCUAAUCUUGCACUAGUUUCCUCUAUUUUGGCAACCAUCUCAACAUUGAACUUAAUAGUAUUUAGAUUUAGAUUUCCCCCACGAAGCAUAACAGAGAUAAACUCGUGGACCUUAUGCUUCUUCUCCGGAUGAACAGGUUCCUCUUCCAACUUGCGUUGCUGAACCUCCGUGGCAAGUUCAUCAAUGAUAUCCUCCAGGUCGUAAGCCAAGUCUCUGAGAUCGCAUAACCAGAUCUCCACCAAUCGAUUUGCCGUCUGCUUCUCCUCCGCAUCUUCAAGCACCGCAUAAAUUCUCUUGAGAAUCUUUUCCCACUUCAUGAGUUGAGCCAAGACUUGACCUUGGCCUACGUAUUUCUUCAAGUCAAUGGAGUUCAACCUGUCGAGAAGCCCCUGAAACCAACCAGAGAGGAUAGAGCCAGCAGCAGCUACCGCAAAAUCCAUAGCAAAGAAUGAGUUGUAAGAGAAGAAAGAAGCUACGAACUCUGAAGAAAUUUGGAUGAAGAAAUUUGUAAACAACUGAAAAUGAAUUAGAUAUUGCAAUUGAAUGAAGGGUGCAGAGCUCAACAGACAUGGAGUCCCUACCAAAUUAAUGGACCACUGGUAUGCGAAUGACCUGAGAAAUUAAUUGGGUUAUGGUGGGUCCCACCACCUUAUCCUCUUGCAGAAGUUCUUGACUUUGUUUUCAAAUAAAUAAAGUAUAUUUUAUUUUAAUGUCUCAGUAUAUUAAUUAAUAUUAUGUAUAAAUGAUGUUAAGGAAGUGUUGUGGAAACAUACAUUUGCUAAUAGAUUUUUUUAAAAAACGAUGAAAAAAAUAUUUUAUUUUUUUAAAAGUAUAACUUAUUUAUUAUUUAAUUUUAAUUUAAAAAUAAAAUAUAUUAAUAAAUUUACAGAAGCUUGUAUAAAAUUUUCAAAAUAUAAUAAAUGACUUUUUAUUUUUUUAUUAAAAAAUAUUUUUUUAAUUAUAUUUAUUUUUAAUAUAAUAUCUAUACUUAAAAUUUUAGGCGUUUGAUUAUACUAUUAAAGAACAGCAGAAACUUAACAGCAGAUCUAUAAACAGUAAUGAUAUAAUUUUUAUAAUAAAUAUAAUAAAAUUUAUUAUAAUAAAAUAUUUAAAAAAUAAAAAAUUAAUAAAUAUAAAACUUAUUAUAAUUUUUUUUAGUAUUAAUUAUAAAUAAAAAAGUUAAAAUUACAUCAAAGUAAAAAUUCAGAAAAAUAAAUUUAAAAAUUUUGGAUUAAAUUAUAUUAGUUUUAAAAUUUUAAAUUAAAUUAAAAAUUAAAAAUUUAAAUUUUUUAUUAAUAUUAUUUAUUACGUAAUAUAUAAAUAUAAUAAAAUAAUUUAUAAUAUUUUAUUAUUAAGAGACACUUUCUCCAUUUAAAUUUUUAUCUUAAAUAUAAUAUUAAUAAAAUUUAUAAUUUUAAAUAAUUUUAUCAAUUUAAAAAUUUUUAAAUUAAAUUGUUAAUAGUAAAAAGUUUUAAAUUUUAAUUAAUAAAUAUUACAUUUUUUUAUUAAUAAAGUCUACACACCGUGUGGAAAUUUUCAUUGAAUUUAUUUGAGAGAGAGAAAUGUCAGCAGUUGGGAAGAUGAAUGGUUGUAAGUAAGUCAAGGUCUAUAUUCAGCUUUUGCUUUGUAAAAGGGAAACAUUUUAAAAGUUGUGCAAAACGUUGUGUCGUACAAUGAAUUAUUUGAGAGAGGGAAGCCAUGGCAUAGUAGCCCUACUACUCACUAUUCGAGAUACAUGAUACGUACUGUAUACAGGUAUAUUAAAUUUUAAAAUAAUUUAUAAUUUAAUUUCUUAAUAUUAUUAUUACUAAUAAUUCAUUUUAAAAAUUUAUUAAAAUAUUUUUAACUAUUAUUUUCAUUAACGAAAUAAUUUUCUCAUCUAUUUAUAUAAUUAAAAAUAUAAAAAAUUAAAAUACCUUUUCUUCUCUCUUCUUCAUUUUUUCCAACCCCUUCUUCUUCUUCUUCGAUUUUUCCUGUCCUCUUUAUCUUUCUCCUUGUAUUCUUCCUCUCCUUUUCCUUUACUUUUUCUUCAAUUUUAAUUUUUCUUUUUCGUUUUUCUGGAAAAGUUAUAGCUUGAAUCUAAAUUAUUUGUAAACAACUGAAAAUGAAUUAGAUAUUGCAAUUGAAUGAAGGCUGCAGAGCUCAACAGACAUGGAUCAGUGGUAUGCGAAUGACCUGAGAAAUAAGGAGAGAAAAAUGGUACAAUAAUUGGGCUAUGGUGGGUCCCAAUUAUUAUAUUUUCUUUGUCUUAUUUGUAUGAGCUUAAUAUUCAAUUAAGUUUUCUUCUUUACAUUUUUUCUCAUCCACUUGACAUAUCUAUCCAUGAUCCUAUGAGUUAAUUCUAUCGUAGACUUUAUUUGGUAAUAAUUUGAUAUUUUAUAUUAAUGCCUAUCAUUUUGUAUUUUGUAUUAAUGUUUAUGAUUGGAUUAAAUUAGUUGUUGAUAUUUUAUAUUAAUUUGAUAUUAAUAUUAAUAUUUGUAUUUUAAAAAAUAUGAAAUGUAUAUCUUUUAUUUCAUUAAUAAAGUGAAUAGAGAUAUAAGUUAUUGCAUAAUUAAUGUAAAAAGGUUUAAAAUUCUAUUUAAUUUUAUAAUGUACGUGGUGUAAAUUCCGUGAAUUUUGAUUUAUCUAUAUUUAUAAGUGUUGGAUUGAAUAGAACUGAAAAUAAUCUGAAGGAUGAAAAGAGUGAGAUUUGUUAAUAAAAUCAUAUUUGUAAAGGCAUUCAACAAGGAAAAAUGAGGAUGAGAAGAUUGCAAUGUGACAGAGUUGAGAAAUUAUAUGGAUUACAUGCAAUAUGACAUCAAAAUUACAUGCAUGAAAUAAUAAAUCAAAAUUUUAAAGAAUAAAAUUGAAAAAAAUAGCUCUAAAAAAAUCAUUAUAAAAAAAGGAGUCGCAAUAAAUUCAGUGUCAUUGGACUUCUUUUUUUUUUUAUUUUAUUUUUAAUUUAAUGAUAUAUCAUUAUGAAUUUUAAAAAAUUUUAAAUAAAUACGCUAACAAAAUGACUUUUAGUUUUCUUUGAUCGAGAGAGAAUACAUUGAAUAACGAAGGGGAGAAAUAAUUCAUGGAUAAUCAAGUCAAUCAAGCAGCCAUCUCACAUAUCUAUACAUAAUUGAUGUAAAAUAUCGAAAGAUCAGCCUAUGCAACAUGUUUUGAAGAGAUUUUAAUUUACGAUUCAUGCUAUAUCAUGCAUGCAUAAUAAUUUUUCUCUUAUUCAAAUUAUCAUAAUUUUAAUUUAAAUUCAAUUAUUACGAUACAUAUGUGUUUAUUUAAAAAAAAUAAUAGCCAUCCCUUACUCUUUAAUUAUUUUCUAAAGUUGUAUUAUUAAUAAUAAUUAUAAAAUUAAUUAUGCUUUUCUCUUAUGUUAUUAUUUAUUAAUUAAUUAACAAAAUAAAAAAUUAAUGAAAUACUUCUUUUAAUUAAAAUAAAAGAUAAAUAUUUUUUAAUUUAAAGUUUUAUUCUCAUAAGAAAAUAAAAAAUUUUCUUGUAUGAUGACUUCAUUGACUAGUGGAAGUUUUGGGAGGAAAUUAGUGUAUAGGUUAUUUUCUCUGCUAUUACAUAAAGUUUCCUUGGAGAUGAGUCAUAUUUUGUAUUUAUUCUUAUUUUUAAGUUUAUUUGUUUUAAAUAAAAUAUAAAAUACUUUAAUCAUCCUAGAAUUUUAACACUAUACUGUUAUGAGCAAUUAAAUAAAGAAAUUUGUAAACAACCGAAAGUAAUAAUAUAAAUUUUAAUUAGUUAAAAUUUAAUUUCUUUACCAAAUUAAUGAGAAUCACGUGGGAGAGAAACAUGGUACAAUAAUUGGGUUAUGCUGGGUCCCACCACCUUAUCCUCUUGCAGAAGUUCUUGACUUUAUUUUCAAAUAAAUAAAUUAUAUUUUAUUUUAAUGUCUGAAUAUAUUAUUUUUGCAUUAUUUAUUAAAUUAAUAUUAUGUAUAAAUGAUGGUAAGGAAUUGUUGCGGAAACAUAUAUUUGCUAAUAGAUUUUUUAAAAAAACGAUGAAAAAAAUAUUUUAUUUUUUUAAAAGUAUAAAUUAUUUAUUAUUUAAUUUUAAUUUAAAAAUAAAAUAUAUUAAAUAAAUUUUAUUUUUUUAUUAAAAAAAUAUUUUUUAAGUAUAUUUAUUUUUAAUAUAAUAUCUAUACUUAUAAUUUUAAGCGUUUGAUUAUACUAUUAAAGAACAGCAGAAACUUAUCAGUAGAUCUAUAAACAAUAAUGAUAUAAUUUUUAUAAUAAAUAUAAUAAAAUUUAUUAUAAUAAAAUAUUUUAAAAAUAAAAAAUUAAUAAAUAUAAGACUUAUUAUAAUUUUUUUAGUAUUAAUGAUAAAUAAAAAAGUUAAAAUUAUAAUUUUUUACAUCAAGAUAAAAAUUCAGAAAAAUAAAUUUUAAAAUUUUGGAUUAAAUUAUAUUAGUUUUAAAAUUUUAAAUUAAAUUAAAAAUUAAAAAUUUAAAUUUUUUAUUAAUAUUAUUUAUUUAUGUAAUAUAUAAAUAUAAUAAAAUAUUAAGAGACACUUUCUCCAUUUAAGUUUUUAUCUUAAAUAUAAUAUUAAUAAAAUUUAUAAUUUUAAAUAAUUUUAUCAAUUUUAAAAAUUUUAAAUUAAAUUAUUAAUAGUAAAAAGUUUUAAAUUUUAAUUAAUAUAUAUUACAUUUUUUUAUUAAUAAAGUCUACACACCUAACAUGUGUGGAAAUUUUCAUUGAAUUUAUUUGAGAGAGAAAUGUUAGCAGUUGGGAAAAUGAAUGGUUGUAAGUAAGUCAAGGUCUAUAUUCAGCUUUUGCUUUGUAAAGGGGAAUCAUUCGAAAAGUCGUACAAUGAAUUAUUUGAGAGAGAGAAGCCAUGGCAUAGUAGCUCUGCUACUCACUUUUCGAGAAACAUGAUACGUACUGUAUAUAGGUAUAUUAAAUUUUAAAUUAUUUAUAAUUUAAUUUCUUAUUAUUAUUAUUAUUAUUAAUUCAUUUUAAAAAUUUAUUAAAAUAUUUUUAACUAUUAUUUUCAUUAACGAAAUAAUUUUCUCAUCUGUUUAUACCCUUAAAAAUAUAAAAAAUUAAAUUACCUUUUCUUCUCUUCUCCUCAUUUUUCCUUCUCCACUCCUUCUUCUUGGAUUUUUCCUGUCCUCUUUCUCUUUCUCCUUCUAUUCUUCCUCUCAUUUUCCUUUACUUUUUCUUCAAUUUUUCUUUUUCUUUUUUUUUUAAAAACAAACAAUAUACUUUUUUAUCAUUAUCAUCAUCUUAAAAAAGUUACUUAUUAAUCAUCAUCUUAAAAAAAUUACUUAUUAAUAAAUAAAAAUAUAUAUUUUUACAGCAUCUUAAUAAAACAUAUAUUAAUAAAAUUUAUAAAAUAUAAAGAGAUAUCAUCUCAAAUAUACAAAUUAUUAUAUCUAAUAAAUUUUCUAAAUAAAGUAUGAGUAGUUAGAAUAAUAUUACGACGAAUUUAUCAAACAGAAAAAUCAGCUCUAGAGUCUAAUAAAAAUUUAUAACCAUUCAAAAUUAAAUCCCUCCGUAAGAUAAUUUGGUAAAAAUAUUCUUUAAGUGCGUGUUUGAACCCCUGCAUAAGAUAAUUUGAUAAAAAUACUAUCUUCUUUCUCAUCUCUCAAGUGUAAAUCAUUAAAAUAUUCCAAACAAAGAUACGAAAGAAAGUUUCUACGAGAUAAAAUUCAAAUAAGAUUUCAAGACUGACGCGAUUCCGGAAAUACAUAAUAACUAGUAAACCUCCAUUAAACAUUACAUUAAACAUUACCUUUAAAACAAGUGAAUCAAUAAAAUUUGAAAAAAAGUCAACCAUAGAAAUAGACUCAUAAUUUCAUACAAGAAUUAAGAGUUUUUGUUUCCAUUAAAAAUAAAAUUUUUAACUUGUAACUAAAAACCAAAUCCUCCAAUGUAAUAACAGUUCGAGAAUUACCGCCAUAAAUCUAUUAAAAAAGCCUGCAUAUUUUGAAAAUUGAUUACAUUGUAUGCGAUAAAUAUUCUUAUCAUAUAAAAAUUAUAAGUGAUAAAUCAAAAUAUAUCUAGAACUAAAUUUAAAAUAUAUAAUGAAAAUAAUAUUAACCAUCAUAAACAUAAAAGAAAUAAGUAUUAAUUAUGGUGAUAAAUCCACUUGUAUUUUUAAAGGAAGAAUUUAAGUUUAGAGAAAAAAUUAUUAGGAGAAACAAUAAUGAAUUCUGAAAUAAUCACAAAAUAAACAAAAACGAUUUAAUAAAUUUUAAAAUAUAAUAAGGAAAAAAAGUGUAAUAUUACGAGGAGUGAAAAAAAUAUAAUGAUGAAAAGGAGAAAUUUAAUAUUGUCUCCCAAUACUCUCCUUUUGGUACAAUUUUUCUUAAAAAAAAAAUAAUUAAAUGGAUUUCACAUGCUGUAUUAAGAGAAAAAAAAAUCUUUCAAAUUUUAAUAUAAUUAAUAGAUUAAUUUUUAUAUUUUUAAAAUUAAAUAUUUAUAUGUUUCUAUAAUUAGUUCAUUCAAAUUAGGGUUCCUCCAUUGAUUUUUAUCAUUAAAAAGCAUAUAAAUGUUUUUAUUAUCUUUUUAAAUGGAUAAAUUAUAUUUAAAUUUUUAAAUUUUAACAUAAUUAAUGAAUCUAUUUUUAGUAUUUUUAGAAUUAUAUACUCAUAUCACUUUAUAAUUAGUCCGUCCUCAUCUAUUAUAAUUUAAACUUUUUAAUUUUUUAUUUUUUUAUUUGAAACAAUACUUAAAUUUUUAUUAACUUUUAUCUAUAAUAUUUUAUUUAAUUAAUUUUUAACUUUUUUUGUUAUUUAAUUUUUAUUUAUUGAAAUAUUUUAAUAUUUUUUAAAAAAUACUUAUCAUUUCAAUUAUUUUUAAGUGGUACAAAUAUCGGCUAUAAUAUCUUAUUUAAUUAAUUAUCUAUAAUAUUUUAUUUAAUUAAUCUCUAUUAAUUAUUGUCUAUAAUAUCUUAUUUAAUUAAUUUUUAACUCUUUUUAUUAUUUAAUUUUUAUUCAUUAAAAUAUUUUAAUAUUCAUAACAUCAAAACUUUGAAAAAAUAAUUACAAUUUCAGCUAUUUUUAAAUAGUACAAAAAACUCUUAAAUAAGUUGUAAAAUUUUAUAAAAAGUAUUAUAAAAAGAAAUUGUAUUUUCAGAAAAAAUUAUAAUUUUAAACCGUUUAAAUAUAGAGAGAUUUAAGGAUUUAUUUUUAAAAAUAUAAAAAUUGGUCCGUCAAUUACUCUAAAAUUUAGAGAUCAAAAUAUAAUUUAUAUAAUAUAAAAUUUCUAGUUUUGAACUAAUGGAUGAAGAGAGAUUUAAGGAUUUAUUUUUAAAAAUAUAAAGACUGGUCCGUCAAUUACUCUAAAAUUUAAAGAUCAAAAUAUAAUUUAUAUAAUAUAAAAUUUUUAUUUAAAUUGAAAAUAAUAGAUAUUUAAAAUAUUUAUUUUUUAUUUGAAUAAUUAAUUAACAAAAUUAUGGAUGAAAUAACUUUCGAACAAAAUAAUUAUAUAGAAAUUUAAGUGUUUAAUUUUAAAAAAAUAAUCAUCAAUCUAUUAAUUAUAUUAAAAUUUAAAAAUUAAAAUAUAAUUUACUUUUUAUUAUAUAAUAUUUAUUAUAUAAUAUAUAUAAUAGUAUCGAUAAUAAAAUAAUUUUUAUUUUAUUUUAUAUAUAUGUGCGUUUUUAUUAUACAAAAAGAAAAAAAAAAAUAAUUAAUAUAAUUAUUUGCAUACAAUUUCUCGAGAUGAGACCUCUCGCCACUGUAAUUACAAUGACACACAAUUCCCUCCGGCAGAGACUCCAAAGAUUCACAGCUCGUAAUAUGAAGACGAAUCAAGUUGUGCGGCAAACCCCCUGCUGGGAGGGAGACCCUUUAUAGUCAAAUCUUUGAGAGAUUUUAGGUCUUUCAGUCCACUUGGCAACUCCUUCAGAUUUGGACACCCAUAUAUAUUCAAAACUUCAAGAUUGCAAGGCAAAAGCCCUGGCUCUCCAUCUACCAACGACACAAGCUCAUCACAUAACCCGAUUACCAAAUACUUUAGACUAGUAAGACUGGUGGAAUUAGUCACACUCCUGAGAAUUGCCUCGAGACAUUUUGUAAAAUGAAGUCUUGUAAGUGAUGGGAGCACUUUUGGCAAUUCAACCAAAAGCGGGCAAUCAACGAUAAAAAGAUUUUCCAGUGAAGGAAGGAAGGUGGGCAAUUUUCCAACCAACUUGGGACAAUUUCGUAUUUGGAGUUGAUGCAGCUUAGGAAAUUUUGGCACAGAAUCUUCCCCCAGACCAUUAGACCAAGCCCACUGCUCCCACUCACGCAUAUUUCUAAUCUCUAGUUCUUCCAAACAAGAAAAACAUGAAUCAUCCUCAUAAAACUCAACACCGACUUCUUUCACUCCUCUCAUAUCUCCUAUCCUCAACUUUUUUAAUGACUUUAAUAGUCCGAGCGGUGGCAAUGAUGUCAUUUGGCGACAGUUCCAUAGCUCCACCUGCACCAUGCCAGAGAAUGAAGGCUCACCUAGCCAUGAUGGGAAUUUCCUACCACCAAAUGAUGUAAUUGAUAGGCUUGACAGACUUUGAUAUGGCUGAAUUGAGUUGAGAACUUGUUCUUCAUGACUUGGGUUUCUCAAAUCAUCGAAAUGUUCAUCCGCUUCAGCCCAUUCUAAGUGCAACUCAGUGAUACCAGGCUUAUCCUUCAAAUUGACAAAACCCGCAUCUGGAAUAUCUGCCAGUUCCACAUUCUCUAAACUUGUAAUAUGAAGCUGCCCUCGAAGAUCACAAAAAAAUUAAAUGGAUUUCACAUGCUGUAUUAAGAGAAGAAAAAAAACAAAAAAAUCUCUUUCAAUGAUUUAGGAAUUUCUAUUCUUUUAUUUUAAUUUGAAAAAUAAAAUACAAGUGGGUCGUCCGUACGAAAGUGGGUCGUCCCUCCCUUCUUCCGGGAUGAGAUUUUAUAUAGUUAGUUUUUUUUUUUUUUUUNNNNNNNNNNNNNNNNNNNNUUAGAUAUUUUUUGGUGAGGGUUUUCUUUCUUCAAAUCUGCAUGUUCUUAUUUGCUUUUGUUAAUGGUUUUCGCUGUCGCUUCAGGGACUUACUUUUGAGGUUUUAAGUGUUGGCUAAGUUUUCUUCUUCGGCUACCCCUCUGUCUAUAUGAGAUUGAGAGACAGAGGGGCUAUGCUUCCUUCUCUCUUCUUUCUCUCCUUAGAGCUCUUUUAAGGUUCUUUUAUGCGCCUUUUGUUUUUUCUUGCGGCUUUUCUCCUAGCGGGUUAGCUCCCAGAGAAUCCUGUGAAGUUGUGUUUAGGACUUCGCUGUCGCUACCUGCUGCUUCUAGCUUUUCGCUUGCGGAUGCAUGUAAAUUUGAAGUUAGUGUUCAAUUUUUAUUCAUUAAAAUAUUUUAAUGUAUAUAUAUAUAUAUAUAUUAGCACUCCAAGACUUAACCUGCUGGAAAGUGCAUUCUGUAACCUAAGUCUAAAGUUCGAUUCUCCUAACCCCUAUUUCAAAAAAAAAAUAUAAUUUAUUUAAUAUUAAAGUAUAUGUAAAAUUAAUAAUUUAUUAUAAAAUAAAUUAUAUUUUAAUUUUUAAAUUUUAAUAUAAUUAACGGAUUAAUUUUUAUAUUUUUAAAAUUAAAUAUUUAUAAUUUUCUAUAAUUAGUUCAUUCAAAUUAGAGUUUCCUCCAUUCAUUUUUAUCAUUCAAAGCAUAUAAAUAUUUUUAUUAUCUUUUUUAAAUGGAUAAAUUAUAUUUAAAUUUUUAAAUUUUUAAAUUUUAACAUAAUUAAUAGAUCUAUUUUUAGUAUUUUUAAAAUUAUAUACUUAUAUCACUUUAUAAUUAAAUACCGUUCUAUUAUAAUUUAAACUUUUUGAUAUUUCAUUUUUUUUAUUUGAAACAACACUUAAAUUUUCAUUAACUUUUAUCCAUAAUAUUUUAUUUAAUUAAUUUUUAAAUUUUUUGUUAUUUAAUUUUUAUUUAUUAAAAUAUUUUAAUAUUUUUAAAAAAAUUACUUACUAUUUCAGUUAUUUUUAAAUGGUAGAAAUAUCACCUAUAAUAUCUUAUUUAAUUAAUUAUCUAUAAUAUCUUAUUUAAUUAAUCUCCAUUAAGUAUUGUCUAUAAUAUCUUAUUUAAUUAAUUUUUAACUUUUUUUAUUAUUUAAUUUUUAUUCAUUAAAAUAUUUUAAUAUUCAUAACAUUAAAACUUUGAAAAAAUAAUUAUAAUUUCAGCUAUUUUUAAAUAGUACAAAAAACUCUUAAAUAAGUUGUAAAAUUUUAUAAAGAGUAUUAUAGAAAGAAAUUGUACUUUCAGAAAAAAUUUGACCACCUACUAGUUUUGAACUAAUGGAUGAAAAAAUUAUAAUUUUAAACAGUUUAAAUACAGAGAGAUUUAAAGAUUUAUUUUUAAAAAUAUAAAAACUGAUAUGUCAAUUACUCUAAAAUUUAAAAAUCAAAAUAUAAUUUAUAUAAUAUAAAAUUUCCACCUAAAUUAAAAAUAAUAGAUAUUUAAAAUAUUUAUUUUUUAUUUGGACAAUUAAUUAAUGAAAUUAUGGAUAAAAUAAUUUGAACAAAAUAAUUAUACAGAGAUUUAAAUAUUUAUUUUUACAAAAAUAAAAAUCGAUCUAUUAAUUAUAUUNNNNNNNNNNNNNNNNNNNNNNNNNNNNNNNNNNNNNNNNNNNNNNNNNNNNNNNNNNNNNNNNNNNNNNNNNNNNNNNNNNNNNNNNNNNNNNNNNNNNNNNNNNNNNNNNNNNNNNNNNNNNNNNNNNNNNNNNNNNNNNNNNNNNNNNNNNNNNNNNNNNNNNNNNNNNNNNNNNNNNNNNNNNNNNNNNNNNNNNNNNNNNNNNNNNNNNNNNNNNNNNNNNNNNNNNNNNNNNNNNNNNNNNNNNNNNNNNNNNNNNNNNNNNNNNNNNNNNNNNNNNNNNNNNNNNNNNNNNNNNNNNNNNNNNNNNNNNNNNNNNNNNNNNNNNNNNNNNNNNNNNNNNNNNNNNNNNNNNNNNNNNNNNNNNNNNNNNNNNNNNNNNNNNNNNNNNNNNNNNNNNNNNNNNNNNNNNNNNNNNNNNNNNNNNNNNNNNNNNNNNNNNNNNNNNNNNNNNNNNNNNNNNNNNNNNNNNNNNNNNNNNNNNNNNNNNNNNNNNNNNNNNNNNNNNNNNNNNNNNNNNNNNNNNNNNNNNNNNNNNNNNNNNNNNNNNNNNNNNNNNNNNNNNNNNNNNNNNNNNNNNNNNNNNNNNNNNNNNNNNGAAGACUAGUGGUCAAACCAUUAACUUUGCCAAAUCUUUUUUAUUCUUCAGCCCUAAUAUUCCAACACAGGUUAAGGGAGAUAUUGCAUCAUGUAGGCCUACCAACAGCUAUCACUACAUCUAAAUCUCAAUCAUUUGCAAAAAUUAGAGAUCAAAUCUAGAGAAAGGUUACCAAUUGGAAAGGGAAGAUGCUGUCACAAGGAGCUAGAGAAGUUUUAAUUAAAUUAGUAGCCUUAGCAAUCCCAACUUAUGCAAUGAGUCGCUUUCGACUGCAUUCAUCUUUUUGUCAAUUAGUCAAUAGCUUGUUAGCAAGGUUUUUGUAGGGUAAAAAAGAAAAUGAAAGAAAAUUCACGAGAUUUCAUGGGCAAAAAUGUGCAAACCAAAGGCAGAUAUUUCUCUUACUCAUAUUUUAUGCAAGCUAUACAAGGUUCUAGACUAUCUUGGACAUGGCAAAGUAUAUUGUGGAGUCGACAAGUCCUAGAAAAAGGGAUCCGGUGGAAUGUCAUUGAUGGAAAUUCUAUCUUAUGCAAAUAGGAAAAUUGGAUCCCAAAAACCUUCCCUCGAAUCUCUACAGUGAAGCAAGAUCUGGAGCUAUCAAUACAUUAGGUAUCCUAAUUGUUAGACAUUGCUUCUCACCCUUGGGACAUCCAAAAAUUGAAAGGAGUUUUCGAAGAUGUUGAAAUCAAAAAUAUUAUGGCAAUUCUGAUCAAUCCGUUUAGAGGAGAGGAUGAACGUGACUAGCACUUCUCGAAAUUAGGAGAAUAUUUAGUCAAAUUCGGAUACUAGAUAGCUUGUAAUUUAAGGGACAGACUUCUAGUUAGAACAAAUUACAGUGAAUCAAUACUGUACAAAUGGUGAUAUUUAGACUUGGCAAGAGCUAUGGAAGCUAAAACUCCCUCUAAAGCUUUCAAUCUUCAUGUGAAAGUUCCUUCAUGACCAUCUACCAACAAAUGAGAGGCUGCACAAUUUGGGAAUCUCUUCGUGCUCUAAUCAUAAGCUUUAUGGUAUGACAGAAUCAUCAGGCCAUAUUUUCUUCCUAUGUCCUCGAGCAGUACAAGUUUGAUUGAUCUCGCUUUUAAUGUUUUGGGUAGUAAGUUUGAACAGCACAUCACCAAAAGAAUAUUGGAAUGAAAUUAAGUCAUUCCUAAGGAUCAAUGACCACGAUGCCAAGUGGAAGAGAAUGAUAGUCUUUCUGUUGUGAUAAUUAUGGAAAGAGCAAAAUGAACACAAUCUUUAAGGAUAUAAACAUUCAAGUAAAUCAUCCAGUAAGUGCAGGGUUGAGAUAUUUGAAUGAGUUUCUGAGCAAUAUUCCAAAUACAUGUCCAAUACAAUCAUGAUUUGAUCAAAUUGACAUGAAAUAGGAAAGACCUGCUAGAGAAAUAGUUAAAAUUAAUUUUAAUGGGACGGUGAGUGGCACGAAAAAUAGAGGUUUAAUUGCGGUAAUUAUUCAAAAUGAAGAAAAGGAUCGGUCCUAAGCUGAAGGUGCAAGAGAUUCAUAAGAAUAAUUGACUCUUUAAUUCUAGAAGCAAUAGUAACAAGAGAGGCCGCUAGUGUAGCAGCUAACUAUAAAGUCAGAAGAGUUUAUAUUGUAGGAAAUUCUAUAAAAAUCGUUCAAAUUUUAAAAGGAAACUAAACUUAGUCUAGCCAUUAUUUAAAUAUUACUUUUAGUUAUAUCACUAGAAAGAAGAAUAAAACAGCCCAUUAUUUAGAAAAAGGAAACUAAUCAAUGAUUUUUUUUUUAAUUUUUGACUUAAUUAAAUUUUGUAUUUUUCAUUUUAUCCAUUAAGGGUCAGGAAUAUAAUUCUUAAAAAAAAAAAGAAAAUAGUAGUCUUCAAAGGACAUAAGUGGAGAAGGAUUUUUUUUUAAUUAAUUAAUGGAGAAGUUAAAGUCAAACUAAUUAGGCAUUCACAGGUGAAAAGUGGAUAUAAAUAAAUAUGAAAAAUUUAAUACUUCACUCCCUCAAUUUCUAAUUUUCAACUAAAAAAGUUAAAUUAAUUAGAUGUGACAUGCCAACAUGCUUUUUCUGCCAUUAUAUUGUUCUUUUUCCCAUUCGCUCCAUUAAAUUCACCCUUUAUUUUCUUUUUACAAUUUUGCAUUCAAUUAGAUAUAAUAAUAUCUGUAAUCCUUUAAAAAUAUCAAUUUAAACCUAUAAUUUUGAAUACAUGCUUCUGAAAAAUAGUAUAAUUUUAUUGUACUUUUACAAGUAAUUGAAGGGAGAAAUUUGUAGAUAAUAAAAAAUAAUUUAGAUUGUGAAUCAAUAUUAAAUUAAAAUACUUAAAUUUGUAGAGAGAAAAGAAAAAUAUAAUGGGUGAAUUAAUUGUGAAAAUGUAAAGAAAAAAGACAAAAAAAAAAAAAGAAAAAGAAAAAGAAAACAUCCAAGUAAAAUUUCUCGAAAUUAAUUGAAGUAAGUUUAGAAAUAUGCUAUAUAUAUAGCUCUUGCUCGCAAGUGGAUCACUUUUUCCUAACUUUAUUCAAUUUUUCACUAAAAAAAGCAAUAAAUCUUGUAGACUGUGACAACACUCCACUAAUACUUUUAGACUCCACCAAUUCCAACUUCACAAGUAUCACAUUUACUCUCAAAAAGUUUAUUAAAAUCGAGUAGAGUAAAAAUAGAAACAAAAAUAAGCUUAUUUUUAUUCUCUUUAAAACUCUUAUUGACAGCGUCUGUCCACAUAAAUUUAUGUACUCUCUUUUUUUAAGCAAUUUGUGAUAGAGGCAACGAUACUGCUGAAAUUUCUAAUAAAUUGUCGAUAAAAAAUAGCAAGGCCAUAAAAGCUGUGAACUUUAUAAAUAGUUUUAGAGAUAGGCCAAUUCCGUAUUACUUCUACCUUCUUCUCAUUAACAUGUAUUCAUUCUACACUAACAACAAAUUUUAAAAACAGAACGCGCUCCGUCAUAUAAAUACACUUCUUAAGAUUAAUAACCAAUUCAUUUUCUUGCAACGCUGUCAUGACUUGACGGAGAUGCUGUAAAUGUUUUUUUUUGAUGCGACUAAAAAUGAAAAUGUCAUCAAAAUAAACAAUCAUAAAUUUACGUAAGAAAUGACGCAAAACCAAAUUCAUGAGUCAUAUAAAAGUGUUAGGUGCAUUCAUCAAAUCAAAUGAUAUAACCAGCCAUUCAUACAAGUCUUCCUUAGUGUUGAAGGCGAUUUUCUCUUAGGGUUUAAGCUUCAAGAUUAAUAACCAUGAUUAAUUUUCGUAGAACUAUCAAUAAAAAUUAUCUUGAGAAUUAUAGAAUAUUAUAAUGUGUGUCAUAGCCACCCUUUCCUAUUUGAGCAAACAUGGCCCCAUUGUUUAUUCUUGAAGCAUAAACCCUAAGAGAAAAUCAUUAUGCUUGAAUCGACUUUGAGGCCCUAUGAGUUUGAGAUCAACUUAAUAAAACAACAAUUUUUUUUUAAAAAAAAAAGAAAUUUCAUGAUUUAUUCAAUUAGACAUAAUUAAAAUAAAUUGAAAUUUAAUAAAUUAGUCAUGAUAAAUGUUUAUUUUAUCCUCAUCAUGAAAUUCAAUUUUCUUUAGUAAUCAUUAAAUUUAAUUACUAGUUUGAUAAUCAUUGGUAUAAUUUUUUUUUAUUAUACAAUUAAUAUUACUUAAUGAAAAGUUUACUCGAUGAAUCAUAAUAUUUAAAAAUUAAUGAAAAGUUUACUUAAUGAAUCAUAAUAUCUAAAAAUUAUUCGAUUUUAAUUUUAGUACGAUUCUAAUUAAGAAUUAAAAUUCAAACUAAACAUUUAAUUCUUUAAUUUUUAAGAGUUAUAUUAAAAAUUAAAUUUUGAUAUAAUUUUAAAUAAUAUCGAUAUAGUUUCAGUUUAAUUUUAAUUUUAAUUUUUAAAAAUAAAGUUAUAGUAUUUUUAUAUUUAUUUUAAAAUAUUAAAUAAUUAACAUUAAAAUAAUAAUAAAAAAAUAUUAUAUAUAAUUCUCUACUAAUAUAUAAUUCACUCAUAUGAUUAAAAAUUAUAAAAUAAUUAAUAUAUUUAUAUAUGAAAUAGUAAAUAUAUAGAUACAAACAUCUUUAUAUAAUUUAUUAAAUUAUAAUUAACAAAUUAAAUUAUUUAAAUCAUAUUUAUUAAAAAUCUCUAAUAACUAAUUAAAUUAUAUAAUUAUUUUAUAAUAUUACUAAUAAUUAAAUAAUUAAAAGAGUGAUUUAUAUUUAAAUUAUAUAAAUAAUUUAAUUUAUAAAAAUAAUUUGAUAAUAUUAACUAUAAAAAUAAUCAAAUAAAAAGUAUAUAUACACGUAUUCAAUGAACUAAAUUCUUAGAGUCUCAAAUGUCCUGAUCCAAGACAGAUUAGUAAUCUUAACAUUUUCCAACUUUUAUGAUCAUCAUCAGUGCAUGCCACCAAAAUCUGCAGAGUUGUUGAGCUUAGUUUCUACCAUUUCACUGCGACAGACAUAAUUCAAUAAGUUUCAGUACCUGAAAGGGAGCAGCUAGAUUCCUUUUUGUUCCCAAGAAGGUGAAAUUUCCUGAUCAUGUAUAGCAAUAAGAUGGAUGGUCACAAAUUGAAUAACGGAUAAGUUGAUCAGAACAAAAGGAAAACACCCAAUUUGUUCCUCUGCCAUUAACAUCUUGUUUAGGAGAAAACAAAGUGAUAGAAUUCAAUUCAAUCGUGCUAAAAAAAUCCAUGAAUUCACAUGUUCGGAUACUGAAAUAAUAGAAUCCAAUUAAAUAUCAGUAUUUGAAAUAAUUGAAAGGUCAACUGAAUUGAAAAAAAGAUGCUCACAUCUCUAUAGUGCUGCAUUGUUUCAGAAUAAGUACUACAGGAAUAUUUACCUCAUUGUUGGAGUGCUGCAAAGUCAUCUUUAACUGGGAAGGACUGCAAAAUCAUCUAUACCAACAAAGGGGAUAUCAGAAAUGAUAGGCCAGCUGUGAAUAUCUAUGCAUUCAAGUGUAGCAGGAAGGCCCUCAGCUGGGAAGGACUGCAGUUUUGGGCACCACCAAAUUGAUAAUUUUUCAAGAGAGGUGAGCUUUUGGAUACCCCUGGAUAUGGAUUUUAGAUUCUUGAAUCCAAUAAUGAAUAGGUGGGUAAGAGAAGUGGGAAGCAGAAAGCCGUCGUCAUCUGGAAAGGAAAUAAAAUCUCCAGUUGACUCCACGUUUAGAACCAAACUUCUAAGAGAGACGAGUCUGUGGAGUCCCCACUCUAGCAUUGGCUGUUUCAUAUUCAAGCACUCUCGAAUAUGAAGGGAAGUUAGGUUAGGGGGUAAACAACCUCCUUCUAAGGACUCCAUACCUUCACAUACUGAUAUAUCUAUAGAUUGAAGGGAAGUGAGGUUUUGCAUCCGAUUGGGUAGAGACCUCAAAUUUUUGCACCAGGAAAUUUGAAAUGACACAAGCUUGGGGUUGGGCAAUCCCAUCUCUGGGAAAAACUCUAAUUGAUGACAGCCCCCUAUUUCUAACUGUUGGAGACUUUGAAAGUCUUGCAUAUGAUUGGAUAGAGACCUCAAUCCUUCACAGUGAGCUAUUGUUAAAGAGAUAAGAGAAGGGAGAGGCAAUUCCUUCCCUGGAAACGACUCUAAUUGAGGACACUUCUCUAUGUGUAAUUCUGUAAGAUGAGAAAGCCCACAGUAUAGCGAGUUUAAAAAUUGUGGCGUCCAGUUGUGAAUUCGAAGAGUCUUAAGGGAAUAUGGAAACUUUCCAUUUGAAGAGCAUCUGAGGGAUUCACAUCCAGAGAUAUACAAUUUCUCGAGAUGAGACGUCUCGCCACUGUAAUUACUAGGACACACAAUUCCUUCCGGCAUAGACUCCAAUGAUUCACAGCUUGUAAUACGAAGACGUAUCAUGUUGUGCGGCAAACCCCCUGUUGGGAAGGAGACUAAACUUCUACAUCGCCUUAUAGUCAAAUAUUUGAGAGAUUUGAGGUCUUUCAGUCCACUUGGCAACUCCUUCAGAUUUGGACACUCAUAUAUUUUCAAAACUUCAAGAUUGCAAGGCAAAAGCCCUGGCUCUCCAUCUACCAACGACACAAGCUCAUCACAUAACGCGAUUUCCAAACAGUUUAGACUAGUAAGACAGGUGGCAUUAGUCACACUCCUGAGAAUUGCCUCUUGACAUCUUCUAAUAGAGUGCUGUAAGUGAUGGGAGAACUUUUGGUAAUUCAACCAAAAGCGGGCAAUCAACGAUGAAAAGUUUUUCCAGUGAAGGAAGGAAGGUGGGCAAUUUCCCAACCAACUUGGGACAAUUUCGUAUUUGGAGUUGAUGCAGCUUAGGAAAUUUUGGCACAGAAUCUUCACCCAGACCAUUAGACCAAGCCCACAGCUCCCACUCACCCAUACUUCUAAUCUCUAGUUCUUCCAAACAAGAAAAACAUGAAUCAUCCUCAUAAAACUCAACACCCACUUCUUUCACUCCUCUCAUAUCUCCUAUGCUCAACCUUUUUAAUGACUUUAAUCGUCCAAGUGGUGGCAAUGAUGUCAUUUGGCGACACUUCCAUAGCUGCACCUGCACCAUGCCAGAGAAUGAAGGCUCACCCAGCCAUAAUGGGAAUUUCCUACCACCAAAUGAUGUAAUUGAUAGGCUUGACAGACUUUGAUAUGGCUGAACUGAGUUGAGAACUUGCUCUUCAUGACUUGGGUUUCUCAAAUCAUCAAAACGUUCAUCCGCUUCAGUCCAUUCCAAGUGCAAUUCAGUGAUACCAGGCUUAUCCUCCAAAUUGACAAAACCCGCAUCUCGAAUAUCUGCCACUUCCACAUUCUCUAAACUUGUAAUAUGAAGCUGCCCUCGAAGAUCACAAAGUUUCUUUAGCACCGUGAUCCGACCAUUGUUUUUCCCCAUGAUAAAUUUGGUCAACACGCAGAGACUAGUCAACUUACCAAUAUGUGGUGGCAUCUCUUUCAAUUUCCUUGUGCCAAUAAUGUCAAGAUGCUGCAAGUUGAGUAAAUUGCAUAUGCCUUUAGGUAACUCAAUAAGCUCAUCACAAUCACGCAACUUUAAUGUCUGUAAGUUGAAGAGUUUAUCCACUGAUUCAGGCAAUCCUUGGAUUGGAGUAUCAGAUAGGUUAAGGUAGCGUAAGUGCUUUAAGUCACCAAAAGAAUUUGGCAACUCCUCAAUCUCAUAACCAGCUAGAGAUCGUGACUUUAAGCAUUUUAAUUUUGGCACCAACUCAUGCACCACCUUACUAGUAAUGUGGCAUCUAAUCCGAUCCUCCCGCACGGAUAAAAAUGUGCGCAAAUUCUUCAUUUCACAGAAGCUUUGAAAUCUUUGAAAAGUGUUCAUAAAAUGAGGAAUAAAUGAAGAAUGUCUAAUCUUUGCAAAUGAUUUUGCAUUCUCCAACUUACCAACCAUAUGCAAACAUAUUUCUCUGCUAACAAAGCAAGCUAAAUCAACAAUUAGGUCAUGCAUUAUAUAUUUUGAUUUAUUAUCAUUUGAUUGUUGAAAAAAUGAUCUUGAUAAUAAAUCAUCAAAAUAUUUAUGACCCAAACCUUCACUAUCUUUCAUUUUCUUCUGGUCAUACAAGAAACCCUCAGCCAUCCACAGCAAAACCAAUUCAUUCCUAUCAAACUCGCGAUCCUUUGGUAGUAUUGCGCAAUAAGAGAAACAUCGCUUUAAAUGAGGUGGAAGAUGAAGAUAGCUCAACUUCAAGGCUGGAAGGAUAUUGCUCCUAUUGUCUGGUAAUUCCCACAUCUCACUGCUCAACACUUCCUUCCACAAAUCAGGAUUUGGUUUACCCUUUAAGAUGCCUCCAAGAGAUUUUGCUGCCAAAGGUAAUCCUCCACAUCUUUUGACAAUCUCCUCACCCAUUUGUUUCAGCUCCAAGUGCGCGUCAAAAUUAUUUGCUCCCAAAGCAUGCUGGGCAAACACAGACAUGCAUUCAUUGUGUGACAGCUUCUUAAGAGCAUAUGCUUGAGUCGUACCCAUCAUUAAUGAAACAUCCUGACUUCGAGUCGUGACGAUAACUCUGCUUUGAGGAGCCCCUGCUUCAAACGGACCCCAAAACAGAGUCCAUUCCUCAUAGUUCUGGGUCCACACAUCAUCUAGGACAACUAAAAACUUAUUUCCAGACAACUUUUGCUUCAAUUUUACCUGAAGCACAUUUAAAUCUUUAUCAUCACCACCAUCACCCAGCUGAAGAAGAAAUGUUUUUGUGACCCUGGAAACAUCAAAAUCUUCACCAACAGACACCCAGGCUUUUAAAUCAAACUCCAACAUGGGAUCAUUGUAGACUAGCUGAGCUAGAGUUGUCUUGCCAAGGCCUCCCAUCCCAACUAUGGAGAUCACAGAUACCUGGGCAUCACUUGUCUCAGCAUUCAACAAUUUCAACAUCGCCUUCAUACUCAUAUAAUGUUAAGCCUGGUUUUUCAUACAUAUAACAUAAAACAUUUACAAAAAAGAUAUGUAUACAAAAGGAUUACAACUCUUACAAUCAAGCACCAUUCUAUACCCUGUACAAUAUACACUAUCUCUGUACAAUUACAUGUCCACACUAGCUAUUACAUACUCUUCUCUUUCUCUACCCUGCCGAACUCUUCUGGACUCUGAAGACUGAACCUGCAAAACUGGGGUUAAGGAAGAGGGAUGAGCUAUACUAGCCCAGUGAGUAGAACAUGUAAUAGAACAUGCGAUAAAUCAUGCUCUCAUGGAAUGCAUCACAUCACAAGUAAUCACCCAUCUCUGAUGGACUGACCCAAAAUUUUCUCUGCUCUGUGCUCGGCCCGCGAAGGAGCUCCUCAGGUCUUUAUUAUGCAAUCAAUAGUACCGAAGUACACUGUGCUCGACCCCUCUCAAAGGCUCCUCAGGACUUUACUGUGCCCGGCCCUCGAUGGGGCUCCUCAGGUCUUGAUGUGAGGGCUAAUGAGCCAUCCUAUGUCCAUCUCACAACAAUACAAUGUACAAGGAACAGUGCCAAGUACAUGGAAAAAUGCAAUGCGUCAUAUUCGUGUACACUAAUGCAGUCAACCUAUUGCAUAAUCAUGGUGCAUGAAGCAUGAUAAAAAUAUUCAUUUCUCAUAUUAAAACAUUAAGUUUAGUUCCACUCACCUCUGGCUGACUCUGUACUGACUCUGCAGGUUCUGAAGCAGUGCUCACUACUGACCUCCCUGAUUCCUCUGGUCCGUUCCUACACAGGUGGACUCAAAUGAAGGACCAAACUAACUCAAGAACAUCUCUAAAAAACUCCCCCAAACACCCUCUAAAAGAUCCUAAAACAAUCACAUAAAACAUGUAAAAGAAGGCUGGACAGGGCACCUUCGGCGGUAGGUUCGACGGCCGAAAGUCCUGUCCAGAGACGAAACUCAUGCACUUUCGGCGGCACCUUCGGCGGCACCUUCGGCGGCCGAACCUUGCCUCCAGAGACGAAAGUCCACAUUUUUGGAAGCAAGCUUUGGCAGCCGAAACUGCCUCCACAAGGGGUUCGGCGACUGAACUUUCCUUCGGCGGCCGAACCUGGUUCUCGCCUAUAGGGCAGAACCUGCUCUGUUUCAUGCAAAACUCCUCCAAUCCUUCACUCUACAUGCACACACAACUCCUCAACUAUCAUAUACAUAUGUAUAUGCACAAAGGGGUCCAAAACUAUCCUAAAACCCCAAGAAACAUAACAAACAACAAAUAAACACUCUUAUGCACCAAAGAUCAUUAAAAACCUCAACCAAACCUAAUCAUGCAUACUACCCAUAAAACUUCCAUAAAACCUUUAAAAAUCAAGAAAGAAGCUAAAGAUCAUCACUCACCUCUUGAAGAUCUCAAAGAUGGAUGAUCCCAACGUGGAGAUAUGAAGAAAUCCACUCUCAAAUCUCCAAGCUUCCAAACUUAGUUUCUUUGCUCAAAACUUCAAAACAACAUCAAAACUCUUAAAAACCUUGAAAGAUUUGGUGGAAAACAUGAAAAUCAUCAAAGUCAACUUGGGAAGGCUGGGACUCACCUCUGGCUGCAAGUGGAAGAGAAAUAUCCUCCUUCCACCGACCUUUGGCCCUUUUAUAGGUGGCUGGCCAGACCACCUUCGGCAGCCGAACGUGAAUCCGGAACCAUGCAAGGUUCGGCGGCCGAAAGUCACCUUCGGCGGCCAAACUUGCCAUUUUCUCCCUUGUUGCUUUUCUUUCAAAAACUCACUUUCUUUAACACUUAAAACAUUAAAACAUAUUAAAACUCUUUAGAAAACAUAUGUACUACCCUUCUAGAGGGUUCCAACACCCGAAAUUCCACCGGACUACAGGAAUUCCGAUGCCGGACUCUAGCCGGGUAUUACAUAGCUAGUGUGGACAUGCAAUUGUAAAGAGAUAGUGUAUGUUGUACAGUGUAUAGCAUUGUGCUUGACUUAUAAGAGUUGUAAUCCGUUUUGUAUAUACAUGGUCUGUUCAUGAAAAUGAUUUUUAUUGUAUAUGUAUGAAAAACCAGGCUUAACAGGAGAUAACCCGCCUAGAGCAAGGAUGAGAGCUCUAGCAGGGGUUUUAUAGUACAGAGAUAGAGUAUGCACAGGUUGAGCCUUGGAACAGAGAACAGUUUUAACUUUUACAGAAAAUAUAUGAUCAUGUAUGGGAUUUCACAGGUACACAGAGUUCACAGCAGGCUUGCUACGGGUCCCGGCGGCCUUAAGCCGAUCUGGAUCCUAGCGCCGAUAGCAGUUCAGUUUCCGGGCUAUUACAGAUUGGUAUCAGAGCCCUAGGUUCACAUGGUCGGACCUAUAUAGACAGAAUCGGGCUUAUAGAGGUUCUAGCAGGUCAAGCACCAUAGGAAAAUAUGUCCACUAGGAUAGGAUGUCAGUCCUGUCUUUAUGAUGAUGUGAAAUGCCAUGAUUCAUGCAUGAGCAUUAUAUUAUAUGUGAUGUAUGCUUGAGGUUCAUGUGUUUCCACAUGGACUAUAUGUUGCUGAUGUGCUAUGUUAUGUGUUGCUUUCCAGAGAGUUAGGAUGCGAGGAACUCGUCGAUCAACGAGAUUGACUGGAGUCCCACCAGAAAGUGAGGGUACAGCUGCUCGUCCUCCUGCAUUGCCAAGGGCAAGGACUCACAGAUCAAGCAGGGAGGGAAUGUCAAGAGACCCUAGAAGGUCUUCUGACGAGAGCAGAAGAGGAGUAGACAGAGGAGGAAGAUCAGAGGAAGCAAGAGAGGCUAUGGAUGUAGAUCAGGGAGGAGAUGAAAGUAUGGGUGUGGGAAGGUCUGAAGAAGGUAUGGGGGAGUCCCAGGGAGGUGCUCAGGCCUCGGGGUUUGGCUAUCCACCCUUUCCACAGGGUCCCGGGGUAUCCAAUGGGAGGUACGUCGGAUUACUCCAGCUUUGCCCCAUAUCCACCCUAUAUGCCCUACAUGCCUUAUCCUUCUUUUUACCCACCAUAUCAUAUGCAUCCACCCCCACCUUUUCAUCCAAGUCCAGCACACCCUGAAUCUAGAGAAACAAUACCUCCACCACCACCACCUGAACCAGCAGCCCCUGUUGUGGAAGCACAGCAACCCAGUUCUUCAGGGGGAAACAAGGUGAAGAUGACAGAGUACUUAAAGUUGGAUGCUCCUAAAUUCAAUACGGGAGAUGAUCCCUUUGAGUAUCUCAGUGCAGUCAGAAUGAUAACAAGUGAGUUGGGAGCAGAUGAUAGCAGAGCCAUUGAGAUGGCAGGGUUCACAUUAAAGUGCAAGAAAGCAAGAGAAUGGUUCAAAAACUAUAUGGACCCCAUAAUAGACGGCAUGACUUGGGAAGAGUUCGCCAAUGAGUUUGCUGGGUGGGCUUUUCCUGACAGUUCCAGGGAGAGGAAGAUUGUAGAGUUCGAACAAUUGAGACAGACAGAGGAUAUGAGCGCUGAUCAGUAUACAGAUAAGUUCCUGGAAUUGUUACCGUUUGUGGGUCAGACUUAUGAUACUGACCAGAAGAAGGCAAGGAGAUAUGCCACAAGGCUUCAUCCCAGGUAUUUCUCCUUGAUCCUUCCAGCAGAAAAAGAGAGUUUUCACUCCAUUGUGGAUGCAGCCAGAAAGAUGGAGGCAAGUGCCAUCCUACAGGGAACAGUGAAGCAGCAGGUGGCACAGUCAUCAGGUUCUAAGGCCCCCAGUACAGCAGUUUCUGGCAGCAAAAAGGGAGAGAAGUUCAAGUCUAAGAGAGGAAAGUUUUGGAACAGAAUCAGAUCUGGUCUGGGAAUGAGUAGUGGCUCCAGCUCUGGCACAGGCAGUACAGUGUGUAGGAAAUGUGGGAGAUCACACGGGAGAGUUUGUCGGCUGAGAUCUACAGCCUGCUAUAGAUGUGGGCAGGAGGGACAUAUUGCACGAGAAUGUCCUCAGGCGACCUUAAUGGCACCAUCCCAGCAGAUGACCUCAGGCAGUGUAGCACAGCCAGCAGCUUCAGCCGUACCAAAGAGCAGUGGCAGAGGUAGAGGAAGAGGGGCAGCCUCUUCAUCAGGGAUGGGUUCCCGAGGUGCAGGUCCAUCAGCCCCAGCACAAAUUUUCACCAUGACUCAGUAGGAAGCAGACACUUCGAACACAGUGGUGUCAGGUAAUCUCAUCAUUGGGUGUUCAGAGGUGUAUGCUUUGAUGGACCCCGGUGCUUCUCACUCUUUCAUUGCUUCUAGAGCCGCAGAGAGAUUGGGUUUGAUAGUCUCUGAGUUAGAGUGUCCUCUUUGGGUUAGUGGACCCAAAUGUGACCCAUCAUUGGCAGAGUCAGUCCACUACAACAUAUUACAUCUCUAGUUACGAUACGUAGCUACAAAAAAAAUUAUUGUGGCUAAUAUAUUUAUUUUAUUACGGCUAAAAACCUAUUGUGGCUAAUUUAAACUAUUUAGAAACAAAAAUGCAACAAUUAUAACUAAUAUGUAUUUUUUAUUUUAUUUUAUAUAUAAUGUAACUAUUUGUUGACUAUUUGCCACAAUUAAUUUUAGCUACAAAGUAAUAUCAUAGCUAAUAGAUAUAAUAGCUAUAAAUUUAAUUUUUUUGUAACAAUUACUACCAUUGUAGUCACAACACAUUAAUAUUAUAGGUAAUAAUUUUAAUAGCCAUAAAGCUAAUAUGAUUGUAGUAAUAAUUAUUUUAUUAGUUAUAGUUUAUUAGUCAUUACAAAAAAUUUAUGGCAGAAACAUAAAAAUAUUAGUCAUGUAAUUAUGUUUGUCAUAACUAUUACUAAAUCAUUAGCCACAACAUCGUAGCUAAAUGAAUUGUAUGAGUACUAUGAUAUUUUAGUUAUAAUUAUCAAAGAGUCAUGGAAAAGAACGGCGACAAAAGUUGUGCUAACUUGGGCACACUUAUUGGUACAAUGGAAAAAAUAUUUGGGAACACUUCAAAUUUUUUUUUUUGUUCUUUGCUUAAUUGGUCCCACUUUAAUUAGAGUCCGCUAAUCUAACCUUAUUACUAUUAGUAAUAUAUUUUACUUAAGAUAUUCAAUAUAUAUAAUAGAAUAAUUAAACUUCAUUUUGUAGAAAAUAUGUUUCAUUUUUUAUGAAAUAUAACAUUUUGACUAUAUAAUAAUAAUAAUAAUAAUAAUAAUAAUAAUAAUAAAGCUAACUUUAUUAAAUACUAAUUAAAAAUUAAAAGUUUUCAUCGAAUUUCAUUAGGUGGCUGGAAAAUUAGCCUCCGUUGAAGCCAAUAUUGUAGCUAUAUUCUCUCUAUUGUGCUUUAAUGCUAUCAAUUCCAUAUGAGCUUCAACGACGCUAGAUAACCAUUAUUACAAAAAAAAUCAGAAAAAAUUUGAAAAAUGAAAAUGAAAAAGAAAAACAAAACUAAAAAUGCUAGAAGAAAAUCGAAAGCAAGUAAUUUCACACAUCAUUAACGAAAGUUAGUCUUAAUUCUAUAGAAUUAUUGUAUUUUUUCAGACUUGAAUAUAGUCGGUUUUUUAAGACUUCAAUACUAGUUCUUCUAUGAUUCUCGAUUUUAAAUCGGUUCUUCAUGAACCUUACUCUGUCAAAUAAUUAUAUCUUAGAAAAUUUAUCUCUUAAUUGAAACCAUAUACAGAAUUAUAUUUUCUAGUUCCGAUUCUUCUCUUAGAGCUGAGACCAGAAUUAAAACCUAAACCUGAACCAUAGAAAUAUAAUUGGAACCAAUACUAGAACUAGGAAAAAAAUUGGUAUCAAUUUCUUAAUUUCCAAGAAUCGUUUUUUUUUUUUAUCUAGUACCGCUUUCUUCUAGGAAUCAGUUUCAGAACCGGUACUACACACCCUUAGUAAAAUGAACUUUACACUGCUAUAUGCUUAAAGGUGAGCAUUUUAUAACCAUCACCGUGACCAAUUAGCAAAUUUGAAAAUUAUGGUAAUUGAAAAUUUUUUACAGAAUUACUAAUUACCGAACAUAAUUACUAAUCGAUAAACAAAAAAACCAAAAUUCUUUAUCCACAAUAUAUAAAUUAAAUUUAUACCAAAAUUAUUCCAAAUUUUUAACUAACGAUUUAACACCUUUAGGGUCUUAUUCCAUCAAAAAACACAAUUAUGCCAAAUUUGGCACACUUAAAAUUUUUUUUUUACAUGAAUUUUUUUUAUCUACAUAUUUGUAUUUUGCGUAUAAAUUAAUUUUGAAAUUUUUUUUUUGAAAAUAAAUUUAUUUUGAUGUUAAAAAUACAGCUCUACAAAGGUGUGGUCAUGAUUUUUUUUCUUUUAAAAAAAAAUUCAUAGCGUUGAUUUUGAAUCUGCUUAAACAAAUUAAAAUUAUUUUAUUUUGCUUAUUUAAUUAAAAAUAUAAAAUAUUUUAAUUACAAAAAAAUGAAAAUAAAAAAUAUUAUAUUAAUUAAUAAAGGGAACCCUAUCAAUUAGUGGCGGCAAUAUAAUGAUAAGCUUGCUAAUAUAUAUAUUUUUGGCUUGGGGGAAUGAAAACCUUAAAAUUAAAAAUUUCCUCCCUACAGCCGCUACUGCUACCGCUACGAAUUCUAUAUAAAUUUUCAUUCUCACUCAUGAUUCAUUCAGUUUUCAAUUUCUGUCCACUAUCAAAAGGAGAAGCUCCCACUAUCAAAUCCAAUCAGGUACGUUUAAAAUUACAAAAGCCUUAAAAUUAAUGUUUCAUUGUAAUUGUUCUAGGUUAAACACGUGAAAGGCAUCUGAUAUUUACUUUUCAUUCGUUUUUCAUCUGUUAAAAAGCUUUGAUUCACUAUUUUUAUAUUAAUUUAUCAUCUAUGUGUAAUAUUCAAUUUUUUCCAUGAAGCAGAAGCAAACAUCAUGGGUCAACGAUGCAAGUUGCGGAAAGAGAAUUCCAUCAAUAUUAACUUGAAAAAUGAGACUGAAAAUAAUGUUAACCAGAACUUUCAAGAAACUCAAGAGUUACACCAAAAUCAGGCUUUAAAUUUUCAAGGUAAAUAAUAUUUAUGUGAUUUAUAAAUUUUAAGUUGUUUUCGUAAAUAAUUAGAUGACUAACUUCAAUUUUUUUUUUUAGGGAAUACUAGUCAGAAGACAAUGAGGUAUCAUUAUGUAGGCCAUUUUAUAUUUUCACCAAAUAGAAUAUAUGAAAAUGGUAGGUUCAUGGAGAAACCUAAUUUUGAUAUUGAUUUCAUCUCAUUUUUUGAUAUAUUGGAUGACUUGAAAAAGGAUUGUGGAUUUGAUGUUAUAAAAGGAGAUAAAUUUUAUUACUUGAAGGCUGAUAAAGCUCUUAGUGAUCUUGAUGCAUUGAUAGAGGUUAAAGAUGAUACAGAUGUGAAAAAUAUGAUGGAUAGUUAUAAGAAGUUCCCUUCGAAACCCAUUGAUAUAUACACUCUAUUUCGAGAUUAUGAUAUUUUACCAAAUGGACUUGGUGACGAGCUACCCACAGUUACCGUUGAUCACACUUCUAAUCAACUUCAAAAUCCAAAUGUAACUACAGGUUUACUCAUUUAAUUUUAUUUAAACAAUUGAUUAUGUUUACUUGUUCUAUGUACAUAAAUUCUUGUUAUUAUAUGAUUAUUGUUUUACUUUUGUUUUGAAAUAGGUUCCAAUACAAUUAAAAGAAAAACUAGAGGACCAAUACGAUACUUGAAAAUCACACAAUUGGAGAAUGGGCAAAAAUUGCCAGUAGAAUUUGACGAAGAUGAUCAAGCUAUUGGUGAUAAUGCUACUGCAUUUGUUUGAUUUUUGGACAGAAAAUGCAUUUCAGGUAUUAAAAAUUUGUGUAAAAUUUAAUAAUUUAUUUUAUAUGAAUUCAAUUUCUAUUAGCUAACAUAAAUUCUGAAAAUUUUUCAUUGUUUUUCUUUAGGAGAGAAGCAACAAAAAUAAGACAAAUAGAUGCAAGCGUUCUAUGCCGCCAUACACGGGGAUAAAAAGCUUUGCUCGGCUGAGAGAUCAUAUGGUAUGAGUUUGUUUUUAUUUUAUUAGUAUUAUAGUGUUUUUUAUUAAUUAAAUGAUACAUAAAUAAUCACUUUUUACUGCUGUCGUUUUGUGGACUAUGGCUAGAAAGAAACAAAAUAGUAUUUGAUAAUUCUAGUUUAGAGCUUGAGAAAGUUUAUGAUUUGAUCUUUUAUGGAUCUUUUGUUUGGUUUAAGAUGUACCUAGCUUUCCUUAUUCCUUAAUCCAAAUUCUUUUUAGUAGCUUAACAAUCAAGAACUGGUCAACCUGUAAUGGUAUAAGCUAGCUGCUUGUUGUUAUUCUUUGUAUUCUACUAUAACUCUCAAAGUUCUAAUAAAAGCUAUUUUUAUAAAAAAAAAAAUAAUAAUAAUGCCUUUUGAAGUUCAUAUGAUUGUUAGAACUUUUUGAUAUGCCAUUUACUAUUUUUUCUAUAAAUGCCUAAUUAGACUCAGACUGCCGUUAUUAACCUUCAUUUCCCACAUCAAAACAAAUUCCCUUUUUCUUUAUGCUCAUUAAAGUUAAACAUGGCAAUUUUUUAGUAGUAUUAGAUUAGACAGCAAACACCAUUAAUAACUCACUCAUUUAAUGGUGGAAUUUGACCAUAUUUAAUAUUCUAAAUAUAGGAAUGAAUUAUGAUUGGUCAACCCUAUGAGCAUCCAAACUUGUAGAGUAAAUAAUAAUCAACAGUAUUAUGAAUUUUAACGCUUGAAUUGAUAUCAUUAGCUAUAAAAAUGUUAGCUCUUUUAUACAAGUUUUGUUUAUCUGCAGCAUAUUUGUAGUUAAGUCAAUUGACUCUUUUACGGAAAGUUUGGUUUUACUUGAACUCAAAUUUUUAUUGGUAUAGAUCUAUGAUAAACUAAUACUAAUUGUUAUAUUUAUUUGAACAGAAGAAAAAAAAUGGAAAAACACCUUCUUGCUUAGAGCUUUUUCUUGAAUCCAGAAAGAGAAAACAAGGCAAAGAAAUUGAUCCAAUAUCACAAGAAGCCGUUGUAAUACUUUUUACAUAUGUUUUAUUUAUUUGUUAUGUAUUUUAUGCUAUAUUUUGAUUUUUUUAAUAUCAAUAAAUAUAAAUAUCUCAAUAGGAAAAGUUUUAGCAACUAAAGAAACAAUGAGAAAAAGGACAAAUUUCACUAGAUGAUGAUGCUAUGUUUGCUGAUGUACUUGGGCAAGAAAAAAAUGGUUAUGUACGUGCUUAUGGUCCUGGAAAAAAUGUCACGGAAUAUUUUGGUGCUAGACCUACAAAAAUAAAACUACUUAGACAACUUGAUACUUCAAGAAGAGAAGCAAACGAGCGUGUCCAACAAAUUCAAAAAGAAGCAAGUGAACAAGUAAAUGAUGUUAAGAAGCAAAUGGAUGAGAAACUUGCAGAGAUGAAUAGAAUAUGGGAGCAGAAAUUCAAGAUGCUUUUGGAGAAAAAUAAUAAUAUUGCAUCAGUAAGUGAUUAAAAACUAAGUCUCAUUUUUUUUCUAAUAUAAGAUUUUUUGUAAGCUAUAUAACUAGUAUGAACCUUAUCUAUUUUAUAUAAUUUUGUUAUUAAUAUUUUCAAAUAAAAUUUUAUACAGCCUAUGGAGGAUUCCCAAGAUGAUGAAAUUGGAGAAUGAUUUGCAGUAUAUUUGAAGUUUUGGAUUUUGAAGCAGCCAGCAGCCUUAUAAUACUACUUUUAGAAAAUUUAGAUAUUAAUAUUAGUGUUAGUAUAGUAUUAUAAUUUCAAGUAUUUUAGUGUAAUUGCUUUAUGACUUAAAUUAGUUUAUUUUGGAUAUUAGUUAUUUUGGAUUAAAUUUAUUGUUAUUUUAUAAUUGUCAUUCUGAUUGAGUCUUAAUAUUAAUAUAUAAUUAUUUUAUAAAUUUAAAUUUUAGCUAAAUUUUUUAUAUAAAUUUUAUAUUCUAUUAUAAAUUUUACCAAAAUUAUUAAUAGAUAAAUAACAUAUGUAAUAGUAAAUUAUAAUAUAAUCCCAUUAAAUAAUAAUAAAUUAAAUAAAUAUUACAUUUUAGCUACAAAUAAUUAAUAGUAGCCGUAUGUACUAUAUUUAGAAUAGUUUCUAAUUUAAUAAUUUUGUGGCGUUAUUCAAUAGUUAUAAAAUAAAAUUAAGUGCAACAAUUAUACUAGAACUUGUCACUUUCUUAUUUUUGUGGCUAUAAAUUUUAUUCUUGCCUUAUAAUUAUUUAAAUGUGGCUAAUAGUAAAUAUUUUUUGUCAUACAAUUAAGUUUAUGGCUAAAUUUAGAUAUGUUAGCCAUAAAAUUAAAUUUGUAACUAUAUAUAAGUUUAAAUUGCCACAUUAUUAUUUUUGUAACAUAAUCAUAGCAAAAUCACUUACAAAAAAAGGUUGUUGUGGCAAAAAGAAAACGUGGUUACAAAUAUUCCAUUAUCGUGGCUAAUAACUAGCCACAAUAUUUAUUUUUAAUGGCAAUAUUUUUGCUUCAUUUAAAUAAAAAGUAUGACUAUAAAUAUUUAUUUUAGCCACAACACAGGUAAAUCCUGUAACUAAACUUUAGUUACGCCACUUCUAGCUACGGCAUGUCAUGGGAAAAAUAUGUUGUGGCAAAAGCAUCUAGCCACCAAAAUUCUAUUUUUAGCUCCAAUUUAUUUUGUGACAAGAUAUGGAUAAUGUUGUAGUGGUCUGUCGGUUUAGUCCAGUGUGUAUGAGAGUAGAUACCUUCCAGCUGACCUUGUGGUUCUAGAGUUAACAGAUUUUGAUGUCAUUCUAAAGAUGGAUUGGUUAUCUACGUAUAAUGCUACCUUGAACUGCAAGGACAAGGUAGUUAGUUUCAGAGACCAGGAUGGGUCAGAGUGUGUCUUCAGAGGAGACAGGAGGGGGACACCUAAAGGUUUGAUAUCAUCCCUUCAGGCUCGUAGGUUGUUGAGGAGGGGUUGUCAGGGGUUCCUGGCUCAUGUGAGAGAGCUAGACAGUCAGGUUAGGGAACCAUCCUCAAUACCAGUUGUUAGAGAGUUCCCAGAUGUGUUUCCUUAAGAGCUUCCAGGACUACCACCUGAUAGGAAAAUAGAGUUCGAGAUAGAGUUGAUGCCUGGUACCAGACCGAUCUCUAUUCCUCCCUACAGGAUGGCACCAGCAGAGCUAAGAGAGUUGAAAGAACAGUUACAGGAGUUGGUAGACAAGGGUUUCAUCCACCCGAGUACCUCACCUUGGGGUGCUCCAGUAUUGUUUGUCAGAAAGAAGGAUGGAUCUCUUAGACUUUGUAUCGACUACAAGCAGUUGAACAAAGUCACUACCAAAAACAAGUAUCCUCUACCCAGGAUCGAUGAUCUAUUCGACCAGCUGGUAGGAGCAGGUUGUUUCUCUAAGAUAGAUCUGAGGUCCGGAUACCACCAGUUGAAGAUUAGGGAAGAGGAUGUACCAAAGACUGCUUUCAGGACCAGAUAUGGGCAUUAUGAGUUCCUGGUAAUGCCGUUCGGGUUGACUAACGCCCCUGCAGCAUUCAUGGAUCUCAUGAACAGAGUUUUUAGAGAAUACCUGGAUCACUUUGGGAUCGUCUUUAUAGAUGAUAUCUUAGUGUACUCCAGGAAUGCAGAGGAGCAUGCCCAGCAUCUGAGGAUAGUCUUACAGACUUUGAGAGAGCAUGGCUUGUAUGCCAAGUUCUCCAAGUGCGAGCUCUGGCUGAGGAGCAUUUCUUUCUUGGGGCAUGUAGUAUCAGAUGAAGGCAUAGCAGUGGACCUCAAGAAGGUAGAGGCAGUAGCCAACUGGCCAAGACCCACCACAGUGACAGAGAUCAAAAGUUUUCUGGGUUUGACAGGCUAUUACAGGAGGUUCGUUCAGGACUUCUCGAAGAUAGCUGCUCCUAUGACCAGAUUGACCAGAAAGAACCAGAAGUUUGUAUGGUCAGAAGAAUGUGAAGAAAGUUUUGAAGAGCUGAAGAGACGGUUGACUUCAGCACCGGUGUUAGCUCUGCCAACUAGUGAUGAAGAUUUCACAGUGUUCUGUGAUGCAUCCCGAGUGGGAUUAGGUUGUGUGUUGAUGCAGAAUGACAGAGUGAUAGCUUAUGCUUCUAGAUAGCUGAAGAAGCACGAGCUGAACUAUCUGACACACGAUCUGGAAAUGGCAGCUGUUAUCUUUGCACUUAAGAUAUGGAGGCAUUACCUCUAUGGGGUAAAGUGUGAGAUCUACACGGAUCAUAAGAGCCUGCAACACAUCUUGAGUCAAAGAGAGCUGAAUUUGAGGCAGAGACGGUGGGUGGAAUUGCUCAGUGAUUAUGAUUGCAAGAUUCAGUAUCAUCCGGGAAAGGCUAAUAUUGUAGCUGAUGCCUUAAGCCGGAAGUCACUUGGCAGUUUAUCCCACACUACAGUUAGACUUAUCUGGUACAGGUGCUUUGAUUGCACAGAUGAGGGUUACACCCGUGUUUUUUGAGCAAGUGGCUCUGAAACAGCACGAGGACCCCGAGUUAGUGAAGAUUGCCAGGACUGUUCAGUCAGGCAACAGUGCAGAGUUCAGAUUUGACAGUGAGGGGAUUCUUCGUCACGGGAAGAGAUUAUGUGUACCAGAUGACAGCAGUUUGAAGGAAGGCAUUAUGAGGGAAGCUCAUAAUGCAAGGUAUAGCGUUCACCCUGGAGCCACCAAGAUGUAUCAAGAUCUGAGAAGAGUGUAUUGGUGGCCAGCCAUGAAAAGAGAAGUGGCACAGUUUGUGUCAGCCUGCGAGAUUUGUCAAAGGGUGAAGCUAGAGCACUAGAAGCCGGCUGGAAUGCUUAACCCACUGCCGAUUCCAGAGUGGAAAUGGGAGAACAUAGCUAUGGAUUUUGUAGUGGGGUUACCGGCGACGUCCAACAGGCUAGACUCCAUCUGGGUGAUUGUGGAUAGACUGACCAAAUCUGCACACUUCAUUCCAGUUAGGAGUAACUACUCUGUGGACAAACUUGCGCAGGUGUAUGUAGAAGAGAUAGUAAAGCUGCAUGGAGUUCCUGUGUCUAUAGUUUAAGAUAGAGGACCUCAGUUCACCUCCAGGUUUUGGCGGAGUCUGCAAGCUGCUAUGGGCACAAGGUUGGAUUUCAGCACUGCUUUCCAUCCACAGACAGACGGUCAGUCAAAGAGGACCAUCCAGACCAUAGAAGAUAUGUUGAGAAUGUGUGUGUUAGAUUUUGACGGUUCUUGGAGGCAGCAUCUACCUCUGGUGGAGUUUGCCUACAAUAACAGCCAUCAUGUUAGCAUAGGGAUGGCUCCUUAUGAAGCUUUGUAUGGAAGUAAGUGCAGGACACCUGUUUGCUGGGAAGAAGUAGGAGAGAAGGCUCUUGCAGGGCCAGAUAUUGUAGAGAUUACCAGCAGGCUAGUGCCUAUCAUCAGAGAGAGGAUCAGAACAGCUGUAAGCAGACAGAAGAGCUAUGCAGACAUCCGUAGGAAGCAGAUAGAGCUCCAGGAGGGGGAUAUGGUAUUGCUGAAGGUGUCUCCAAUGAAGGGAGUGGUUCGCUUUGGGAGGAAGGGUAAAUUAGCUCCACGGUACAUUGGUCCCUUUGAAAUCUUGCAGAAGAUCGGGAAUGUAUCGUAUAAGCUGGAUUUACCUGCAUCUAUGGAAAGAAUCCAUCCGAUUUUCCAUGUUUCUAUGCUACGGAAGUUCGUGUCAGAUCCGGGUAAGGUUCUCAGUGAAUCUGAUAUAGAUAUCCUAGGAGAUCUCACCUAUGAAGAGCAGCCAGUGAGGAUCAUUGACACUCAGAUCAGAAGGUUGAGAAACAAGGUGUAACGACCCGAAAAUCGGACCGCUACCGGCGCUAGGAUCCAGGUCGACUUAAGGCCGCUGGGACCCGUAGCAAGCCUAACAUGCUUCCUGUGAACCUGAUUAAUCCCAUACAUGAUCAACAACAUACAUAAAAAUUAAAACUUUUCUUUCAUUCAUUCUCUCAUACACCAACUCAACCUGUGCAUGCACUGAACAUAAACAUAAUCAUAAACAUUGGCCCCUCAGUGGGACCUCAUCAAUGCCCCCAAUGGGUGGCAUAACAUGAGUUGAGUUGGUUUACAUAUACAUCAUAAAACAUCUGAUAUCAUGUAUCAAAAGGGAUAACAACAUGCUAUGGUCAAGCACACUUCUAACAUCCUUAAACAUCAUUACAUAACUAUUCACAACUCUACAUCAUUAUACAAUUUGUCAUGUCCACAUUCUAGCUAUUACAUACACAAGACUUCAUUACUCUUGCUGACCUCCUGGUCUACCCUGUACCUGUAAGCCUGGGGGUUAAGGGAGAGGGGUGAGCUACUAGAGCCCAGUGAGCAGAAUAAUAAAACAUAUGAUAACAUGAAAUGCAUCACAUCACAGCUAAUCACAUCAAGGAUGAAUUUGUCACCAAUAGUCCUCUACAUGGUCCAACUAUGCCAGGGGCAUAGAAUGGGCCUCACUGGUCUUUCUCUUACAUAAUCAUAACAUAGCAUAACAUAACAUUCCAACUGUGCCAGGGGCGUAGAAUGGGCCUCACUAGUCUUUCUCUUACAUGGUGCCAGGGGCGUAGAAUGGGCCUCACUGGUCUUCCGUACCGUAUCAUCAUCAUAUCAUAACAUAUGAGGACUAAUGGAUCAUUCAACAUUCAUCCGCAUCAUCAACAUAUUAUGCAAUGCAGCAUAUUCGUGAGUUCUAAUGCAAGCACCCUUUUAUAUCUCAUGGCAUUCAUGAUGCGUGAAUCAUGCUAAAACUGGUUUAUUUAUUUAAAAGCAUAAGAGUUAUUCCACUCACCUCUGGCUGAAGCUCUACUGACUCAGAAGCAGCUGAACUCACUGCUGGGGUCCUCGGUUCCUCAGGUCCGAACCUACACAGGUGGACUCAAAUGAGGGACCAAACAACUAGAACAUAACUCUAAAAACAUCCCCCAAAAACCCCCUAGAACAUCAUGAAACAAUCAUAGAAAAACAUGCAAAAGAGGGCUGGACAGGGCACUUUCGGCGGCAGGUUAGGCGGCCGAAAGUCCCUCCAGAGCCGAAAGUUAGGCAGGUUCGGCGGCACCUUCGGCGGCCGAAACUCCCAGACAGAGGCGAAACUCAUGCAUGUUCGGCGGCACUUUCGGCGGCCGAAACUCCCAGACAGAGACGAAAGUCUCCUUUCGGGGGCAAGUUUUGGCAGCCGAAGGCUGCUUCCACAAGCAUGUUCGGCGGCCGAAAGUUCCUUCGGCUGCCGAACCUGGUUUCUCCCUUAGUGGCAGAAACUCAGCUCUCCUAUGCAUAUACGCCUCCAAAACUUCCCAAACAUGCAUAAACCUAUUCUACAACACACAUACACAAACAUACCAGCUCCUAGGGGCUUCAAACUAUCCUAAGCCCCAUCUACAACACAUCAAACAAUACAAAUCCAACAUACAUUGCUCAAAACAUAACAUUAACUCAAAAACCUAACUAUAAGCUAAACAUGCAUUCUACCCCAUAGAUCUACAUAAAACUUACUUAAAACAUGCAAUGAGCUUAAGAUCGGCUCUUACCUCUUGAAGAUCGAGAGAGAGACGACCUAAUCUUGGAGAUGGGAGAUUUUCAACUUCCUUGGGUCUCCAAGCUCAAAACUUGCUCAAAACUUGAAAAUCUUCAAAACAAAGCAAAAACUUGUGAAAAUCUUGAAAGAUCUAAAGGAAAGGACCCAAGAUUGGUGAGGGGUGACGGAGAGCUCACCUUGGCCGACAAUGGGGAGAAAAGCUCGCCCAUUUCGGCUAAGGGACCCUUUUAUAGUGGCUGGCCAGGCCACGUUCGGGGGCCGAACGUGCCUCCGCAUGUAUGCCAUGUUCGGCGGCCGAACUUGAGGUUCGGCGGCCGAACUUGGACUUCCCUCACUUAUGCCUUCGGGGGCCUAAGGCACACCCGAAAUGCCUGCAUGUUUGGCGGUCGAACUUGAGGUUCGGCGGCCGAACCUGGGUUUUCCUCCAAGGUUGUUUUCAUGCAAAAACUCAUUUCCAUCUUGCUUAAAACCGUAAAACACAUUAAAACAUUUUACGAAAACAUGGUUUUACCCUUCUAGAGGUUUCUGACAUCCGAGAUUCCACCGGACGGUAGGAAUUCCGAUACCGGAGUCUAGCCGGGUAUUACAGAUUCCGAUGGUAAAAGUUCUGUGGAACCACCACAAUCUAGAGGAGUGCAUCUGGGAGACACGAGAGUCCAUGCUCCAGCAAUACCCAUAUCUGUUCUAAGGUUAGUUAGUUUUCCCCUUUUCUAUGUGUUAUGUGUUUAUGUGUUUAAGGAACAUUCAGGGACGAAUGUUCUUAAGGGGGGAGAAUGUAAUACCCGGCCAGAGUCCAGCGUCGGAAUUCCUGUAGUCCGGUGGAUUUCUGAUGUCGGAAUGCCCUAGAAGGGUUCGGGUUAUGUUUUUACAUGUUUUUAAGAGUUUUUAAUGUUUUAAAGUGUUAAAAGAAAUGAGUUUUUGAAAGAAAAGCAACAAUGGAGAAAUGCCAAGGUUCGGCCGCCGAAGGUCACUUUCGGCCGCCGAACGUGCAUGGCAUUUGGGUUCUCCUUCGGCCGCCGUAGUUGGUCUGGCCAGCCAACUAUAAAAGGCCCUAGGUCGGUCAAAUGGAUAAGAUUUCCUUUCCAUUUGCACGAGCUGAGGUGAGACUUGAUCUUCCUUGAGUGAUUUAUGUGUUUUCUCAAACCUUUCAUAGUUUUGAAGGAUUUUCAUGUGGUUUUGAAGUUUUUGAGCAAAGGAGCAAAGUUUGGAAGCUUGGAGAUUUUGAGAGAGGAUUUUCCCAUAUCUCCACGUUGGGAUCGUUUAUUCUCUUGUUUGGAAGAGGUAAGUGAAGAUCCUGAACUUCCUUUCUUGAUUUUUGAAGGUUUUAUGGGAGUUUUGUGAGAGAUAUGCAUGAUUAGGUUUGUAAUACCCGGCUUGAGUUCGGCAUCGGAAUUCCUGUAGUCCGGUGGAAUCUCGGGUGUCGGAACCCUCGAGAAGGGUAAUACAGCUGUUUUCUGCGGUAUUUUUACUUGUUUUCAUGUUUUAAAGUGGUAAAAGCAUUGAGGUUUGAAAGAAAAGCAACAAGGGAGAAAUGCAAAGGUUCGGCCGCCGAAGGUCACUUUCGGCCGCCGAACAUUGCAUGGUUGCGGCUUCACGUUCGGCUGCCGAAGGUGGUCUGGCCAGCCACCUAUAAAAGGGCCAAAGGUCGGUGAGAGGAGGGUAUUUUCUCCUCCACUUGCAGCCAGAGGUGAGUUCCAGCCUCUUCCACGUUGACUUUCAUGUUUUCCAUGAUUUUCAUCAAAUCUUGCAUAAGUUUUAAGAGUUUUGGUGACUUUUGAAGGUUUUGAGCAAAAGAACCAAGUUUUGAAGCUAGGAGCUUUGGAAGAGCUUUUCUUCAUAUCUCCACGUUAGGAUCCUUCAUCCUCAAGUUGUUGAAGAGGUAAGUGAAGAUCCUGAGCUUCUUUGAUGAUUUUGAACGGUUUUAUGAAGUUUGUAUGGGUAGUAUGCAUGUUUAGGAUUAGGUGAGUUUUUGGUGAGUUGUGGUGUUCAAGCAUGUUUAAGUGAUAUGUGCUAUGUUUGUUUGGGGUUUUAGGGUAGGUUUAGACCCCUUUGUGCAUAUAUAUGUGUAUAUGCUAGUUGGGAGUAGUUGCUAUGCAUGUUUGUAGGUUUUUGGGCAAGUUUGCAUGAAACAGAGCAGGGUUCUGCCCUUCGGGCAAAACCAGGUUCGGCCGCCGAAGGAAGGUUCGGCCGCCGAACCCCUUGUGGAGGCAGUUUCGGCUGCCAAAGGUUGCCCCCGAAAGCUAGGCUUUCGGUUUAGAAAGAGACUUUCGGCCGCCGAAAGAGGGAGUUAGGCCGCCGAAAGUGUGUGAGUUUCGUCUCUGGACGAGACCUUCGGCCGCCGAAGGUGCCGCCGAACAUGCAUGAGUUUCGUCUCUGGAGUGGGGUUUCGGCCGCCGAACCUGCCGCCGAAAGUGCCCUGUCCAGCUUUCUUUUGCAUGUUUUAUGUGAUGGUUGUAGGCUUGUUUAGAGGGGUUUUUGGGGAGUUUCUUAGAGAUGUUCAUGAGUGAGUUUGGUCCCUCAUUUGAGUCCACCUGUGUAGGUACGGACCAGAGGAAUCAGGGAAGUCAGUAGUGAGUCCAGUGUCAGAACCUGCAGAGUCAGUUUAGAGAUAAUUAAAGGUGAGUGGAACUUAACUUAAUGUUUUAAAUGAGAACUGCAUCUUUUAUCAUGCUUCAUGCAUCAUGAAUAUGCUAUAGGGUGAGUGCAUUAGUAUACACGACUAUGAUGCAUUGCAUUUAUCCUUGUACUUGGCAUGGCUCCUUGUACAUUGCUUAUGUGAGACGGCAUGGACUUCGUGAGGAUUCAUUAGCCCUCAGAGGAAAGACCUGGAACAGCCCUACGGGGACCAGGCACGACACAAAGACCUGGAACAGCCCUACGGGGACCAGGCACAUGGUACUCAGGUACCCCAGAUGAGAUAGAGGGAGUUUUGAUCCGUCCGGCCGAGGUAAUGUGAUUAUGUGUUGCAUUUCAUGAGAGCAUGUUUUAUCACCUGUUAGUUGAUUAUUCUACUCACUGGGCUAUAGUAGCUCAUCCCUCUCCCCUAACUCCAGUUGUGCAGGUUCAGAGGUCAGAGAGAACUCAGCAGGGUACAGGAAGAGUACAGAGUAUUGUAAUAGCUAGUGUGGACAUGUAAUGUAAAGAGAUAGUGUAUAUGUACAGUGUAUAGACUGGUGCUUGACUUAUAAGAGUUGUAAUCCCUUUGUGUCGUUACAUGAUCAGUUUAUGUAUGUUUCUUUAUUGUUGUCUGUGUAUGAGCAAAACCAGGCUUAACAUUAUGAGUUUGAUCCGCCUAGAGCCAUGAGGAGCUCUAGUAAGGAUUGAUAGAGCACAGAGAGAGUGCAUGCACAUGUUAAGUCUGGAAAUGAAGGAAACUUUUAUGUUUUUCAGAAAAAAUAUGAUCAUGUACGGGAUUUCAUAGGUAGACAGACAGGAUAGCAGUCUUACUACGGGUCCCGGCGACCUUAAGUCGAUCUGGAUCCUAGUGCCGGUGGCAGUUCGGUUUCCGGGCUGUUACAGAUUGGUAUCAGAGCCCUAGGUUCACAUGGUCGGACCUAUAGAGAGAGAGUUGGGCUCAUAGAGAGGGUAGCAGGUCAAGCAUCAUAGGAAAACAUGUCCACGAGGAUAGGAUGUUAGUCCUGUCUAUAUGCUGAUGUGCAAUGCCAUGAUUUAUACGUGCAGUGUCUGUGAUGUGUUGCUUAUGUGUUAUGUGAUUUGUUGUUUUUCCAGUGAGCUAAGAUGCGAGGAACUCGUCGAUCCGCGAGAUUGACUGGAGUCCCACCUGUAAGUGAGGGUACAGUUGCUCGUCCACCUGCAUUGCCAAGGGCAAGAGCUCACAGGUCAAGCAGGGAAGGAACGUCACGAGACCCUAGAAGGUCUUCUGACGAGAGCAGGCGAGGAGUAAGCAGAGGGGGAAGGUCAGUAGAAGAAAGAGGUGUGAUGGAAGAGGAUCAGAGUAGAGAUGUAAGCAUGGGUGUAGGAAGGUCAGAAGAAGGUAUGGGGGAGUCCCAUGGAGGUGCACAGGCCUCGGGGUUUGGUUAUCCACCCUUUCCUCAGGGCCCAGAGUAUCCGAUGGGAGGCACGUCGGAGUACUCCAGCUUUGCCCCAUAUCCACCCUACAUGCCCUAUAUGCCCUAUCCUUCCUUCUAUCCACCAUAUCACAUGUAUCCACCCCCACCUGGUUAUCCAAGUCCAGUACAGCCUGAAGUGAGGGAACCAGUUCCUCCACCACCACCACCUGAACCAGUAGCCCCUGUUGUCGAAGCACAGCAACCCAGUUCUUCAGGGGGAAGUAAGGUGAAGAUGACCGAGUACUUAAAGUUGGAUGCUCCUAAAUUCAAUCCAGGAGAUGAUCCCUUUGAGUAUCUCAGUGCAGUUAGAAUGAUAACAAGUGAGUUGGGAGCAGAUGACGGUAGAGCCAUUGAAAUGGCAGGGUUCACGUUAAAGUGCAAGAAAGCUAGAGAAUGGUUCAAGAAUUAUGUGGACCCGAGACUGGAGAGUAUGACAUGGGAAGAGUUCGCCAACGAAUUUGCUGGAUGGGCUUUUCCUGACAGUUCCAGGGAACUAAAGGUUGUGGAGUUUGAGCAGUUGCGACAGACGGAGGAGAUGAGAGUUGAUGAAUAUACAGAUAAGUUCCUGGAAUUGUUGCCAUAUGUCGGUCAGGCAUAUGAUACAGAUCAGAAGAAGGCAAAGAGAUAUGCCACAAGGCUUCAUCCCAGGUAUUUCUCUUUGAUUCUUCAUGCGGAGAAGGAAAGUUUCCACUCUAUUGUGGAUGCUGCUAGAAAGAUGGAGGCCAGUGCCAUAAGUCAAGGAGUAGUCAAGCAAGCAAAGGCACAGGCUUCUGGUCCGGCAAGUGCGAGUAAAAAGAGAUGGGAGAAAUUCAGAGGAAAGCGAGGCAAGUUCUGGAAUAGGCUUAAGUCGGGUCUGGGAAUGAGUAGUGGCUCCAGUUCUGGCGCAGAUUUUCCAGUGUGUCAGAGGUGUGGCAAACAGCAUAGAGGAGCUUGUCAGUUGGGAUCCACAGCCUGCUAUAGAUGUGGGCAGGAGGGACAUUAUGCACGAGAAUGUCCGCAGGCGACUUUAGUUGCACCAUCCCAGCAGAUGACCGCAGGUAGUGUUGUCCAGUCCGCAGCUUCAGUUCGACCACCAAGCAGUGGCCGAGGUAGAGGAAGAGGGGCAGCCUCUUCAUCAGGGAUGGGUUCCCGAGGUGCAGGUCCGUCAGCCCCAGCACGGAUUUUCACCCUGACUCAACAGGAGGCAGACACGUCGAACACGGUGGUGUCAGGUAAGCUCAUCAUUGGGUGUUCAGAGGUGUAUGCUUUAAUGGACCCCGGUGCUUCUCACUCUUUCAUUUCGUCUAGAGCUGCAGAGAGGUUGGGUCUGAUGGUGUCUGAGUUAGAGUGUCCUCUAUGGGUCAGUGGACCCAAAUGUGAUCCAUCUUUGGCAGAGUCAGUCUGUCGGUUCAGUCCAGUGUGCAUAGAGGGUAGAUACCUUCCAGCUGACCUGGUGGUUCUAGAGUUGACAGAUUUUGAUGUCAUUCUAGGGAUGGACUGGUUAUCUACGUAUGAUGCUACCCUGAACUGUAGAGACAAGGUAGUCAGUGUCAGAGACCAGGAUGGGUCAGCUUGUGUCUUCAGAGGAGACAGGAGAGGGACACCUAAGGGUUUGAUAUCAGCCCUCCAGGCUCGUAGGAUGUUAAGGAAGGGGUGUCAGGGGUUCCUAGCUUAUGUGAGAGAGCUAGACAGUCAGGUUAGGGAACCAUCCUCAGUACCAGUUGUGCGAGACUUCCCAGAUGUGUUUCCUGAAGAGCUUCCAGGACUACCACCGGAUAGGGAAAUCGAGUUCGCAAUUGAGUUGAUGCCCAGUGCCAGACCGAUCUCUAUUCCUCCCUACCGGAUGGCACCAGCAGAGUUGCGAGAGUUGAAAGAGCAGUUACAGGAUUUGGUAGCUAAGGGUUUCAUCCGCCCGAGUACCUCACCCUGGGGUGCUCCAGUAUUAUUUGUCAGAAAGAAGGAUGGACCUCUUAGACUUUGUGUUGACUACAGACAGUUGAACAAAGUCACUAUCAAAAAUAAGUAUCCUUUACCCAGGAUCGAUGAUCUAUUCGACCAGCUGGCAGGAGCAGGUUGUUUUUCGAAAAUAGAUCUGAGAUCCGGAUACCACCAGUUGAAGAUCAGAGAAGGAGAUGUAUCCAAGACUGCUUUCAGAACCAGAUAUGGGCAUUAUGAGUUCCUUGUGAUGCCGUUCGGGUUGACUAAUGCCCCUGCAGCAUUCAUGGAUCUCAUGAAUAGAGUUUUUAGGGAGUACUUGGAUCGUUUUGUGAUCGUCUUUAUUGAUGAUAUCUUGGUGUACUCCAGGAAUGUAGAAGAACAUGCCCAGCAUCUGCGUCUAGUGCUUCAAACCUUGAGAGAGCAUGGCUUGUAUGCCAAGUUCUCCAAGUGCGAAUUCUGGCUAAGGAGCAUUGCCUUUUUGGGACAUGUCGUAUCAGAGGAAGGAAUAACAGUAGAUCCCAAGAAGGUAGAGGCAGUAGCCAACUGGCCUAUACCCACUACAGUGACAGAGAUCAAGAGUUUUCUGGGUUUGGCAGGCUACUAUCGGAGGUUUGUUCAGGACUUCUCGAAGAUAGCUGCUCCUAUGACCAGACUGACCAGAAAGAAUCAGAAGUUUGUGUGGUCAGAAGAAUGUGAGGAGAGUUUUGAAGAGUUGAAGAGACGGUUGACUUCAGCACCGGUGUUAGCUCUGCCGAUCAGUGAGGAAGAUUUCACAGUGUUCUGUGAUGCAUCCCGAGUGGGAUUAGGUUGUGUGUUAAUGCAGAAGGACAGAGUGAUAGCUUAUGCUUCUAGACAGUUGAAGAAGCACGAGCUGAACUACCCGACACACGAUCUUNNNNNNNNNNNNNNNNNNNNNNNNNNNNNNNNNNNNNNNNNNNNNNNNNNNNNNNNNNNNNNNNNNNNNNNNNNNNNNNNNNNNNNNNNNNNNNNNNNNNNNNNNNNNNNNNNNNNNNNNNNNNNNNNNNNNNNNNNNNNNNNNNNNNNNNNNNNNNNNNNNNNNNNNNNNNNNNNNNNNNNNNNNNNNNNNNNNNNNNNNNNNNNNNNNNNNNNNNNNNNNNNNNNNNNNNNNNNNNNNNNNNNNNNNNNNNNNNNNNNNNNNNNNNNNNNNNNNNNNNNNNNNNNNNNNNNNNNNNNNNNNNNNNNNNNNNNNNNNNNNNNNNNNNNNNNNNNNNNNNNNNNNNNNNNNNNNNNNNNNNNNNNNNNNNNNNNNNNNNNNNNNNNNNNNNNNNNNNNNNNNNNNNNNNNNNNNNNNNNNNNNNNNNNNNNNNNNNNNNNNNNNNNNNNNNNNNNNNNNNNNNNNNNNNNNNNNNNNNNNNNNNNNNNNNNNNNNNNNNNNNNNNNNNNNNNNNNNNNNNNNNNNNNNNNNNNNNNNNNNNNNNNNNNNNNNNNNNNNNNNNNNNNNNNNNNNNNNNNNNNNNNNNNNNNNNNNNNNNNNNNNNNNNNNNNNNNNNNNNNNNNNNNNNNNNNNNNNNNNNNNNNNNNNNNNNNNNNNNNNNNNNNNNNNNNNNNNNNNNNNNNNNNNNNNNNNNNNNNNNNNNNNNNNNNNNNNNNNNNNNNNNNNNNNNNNNNNNNNNNNNCAGCAAUGAAGAGAGAAGUGGCACAGUUCGUGUCAGCCUGCGAGACAUGUCAAAGGGUGAAGCUAGAGCACCAGAAGCCGGCUGGAAUGCUUAACCCACUGCCAAUUCCAGAAUGGAAAUGGGAGAACAUAGCGAUGGAUUUUGUAGUGGGGUUACCGGCGACGUCUAACAGACUAGACUCCAUAUGGGUGAUUGUGGACAGACUCACUAAAUCUGCUCACUUCAUUCCAGUCAGGAGUAACUACUCUGUGGACAAGUUGGCGCAGGUGUAUGUAGACGAGAUAGUAAGGUUGCAUGGAGUGCCUGUGUCGAUAGUAUCAGAUCGAGGACCUCAGUUCACCUCCAGGUUUUGGCGGAGUCUGCAGAAUGAAAUGGGCACAAGGUUGGAUUUCAGUACUGCUUUCCAUCCACAGACAGACGGUCAGUCAGAGAGGACCAUCCAGACCAUCGAAGAUAUGCUGAGAAUGUGUGUGUUAGACUUUGGCGGUUCUUGGAGGCAGCAUCUACCUCUGGUGGAGUUUGCCUACAACAACAGCCAUCAUGCUAGCCUAGGGAUGGCCCCUUAUGAAGCUUUGUAUGGAAGGAAGUGCCGAACACCUGUUUGCUGGGAAGAGGUAGGAGAGAAAACUCUUGCAGGGCCAGAGUUAGUUGCAAUAACCAGCAAGGUAGUGCCUAUCAUCAGAGAGAGGAUCAGAACAGCUGUAAGCAGACAGAAAAGCUAUGCAGACCUCCGUAGGAAACAGAUAGAAUUCCAGGAGGGGGAGAUGGUGUUGCUCAAGGUGUCUCCGAUGAAGGGAGUGGUUCAGUUCGGUAAGAAGGGUAAACUAGCCCCACGGUACAUUGGUCCCUUUGAGAUCUUGCAGAAGAUCGGGCCUGUGUCGUAUAAGCUCGAUUUACCGGCUUCUAUGGAAAGAAUUCACCCGGUAUUCCAUGUUUCUAUGUUGAGAAAGUUUGUGUCAGAUCCAGAGAAGGUUCUUAAUGAACCUGAGGUUGAAAUCUUAAGUGAUCUCACCUAUGUAGAGCAGCCAGUGCGAAUCCUUGACACCCAGAUCAGAAAGCUGAGAAACAAGGAGAUACCAAUGGUGAAAGUUCUGUGGAACCACCACAACCUAGAAGAUUGCACCUGGGAGACUCGGGAGUCCAUGCUCCAGCAAUACCCAUAUCUGUUUUGAGGUUCGUUAGUGAGCUUUCCCUUUUUCUAUAUGUGAUUAUGUUGUGUUAGGGACAUUCGAGGACGAAUGUUCUUAAGGGGGGGAGAAUGUAAUACCCGGCUUGAGUCCGGCAUCGGAAUUCCUGUAGUCCGGUGGAAUCUCGGGUGUCGGAACCCUCGAGAAGGGUAAUACAGUUGUUUUCUGCGGUAUUUUUACUUGUUUUCAUGUUUUAAAGUGGUAAAAGCAUUGAGGUUUGAAAGAAAAGCAACAAGGGAGAAAUGCAAAGGUUCGGCCGCCGAAGGUCACUUUCGGCCGCCGAACAUUGCAUGGUUGCGGCUUCACGUUCGGCUGCCGAAGGUGGUCUGGCCAGCCACCUAUAANNNNNNNNNNNNNNNNNNNNNNNNNNNNNNNNNNNNNNNNNNNNNNNNNNNNNNNNNNNNNNNNNNNNNNNNNNNNNNNNNNNNNNNNNNNNNNNNNNNNNNNNNNNNNNNNNNNNNNNNNNNNNNNNNNNNNNNNNNNNNNNNNNNNNNNNNNNNNNNNNNNNNNNNNNNNNNNNNNNNNNNNNNNNNNNNNNNNNNNNNNNNNNNNNNNNNNNNNNNNNNNNNNNNNNNNNNNNNNNNNNNNNNNNNNNNNNNNNNNNNNNNNNNNNNNNNNNNNNNNNNNNNNNNNNNNNNNNNNNNNNNNNNNNNNNNNNNNNNNNNNNNNNNNNNNNNNNNNNNNNNNNNNNNNNNNNNNNNNNNNNNNNNNNNNNNNNNNNNNNNNNNNNNNNNNNNNNNNNNNNNNNNNNNNNNNNNNNNNNNNNNNNNNNNNNNNNNNNNNNNNNNNNNNNNNNNNNNNNNNNNNNNNNNNNNNNNNNNNNNNNNNNNNNNNNNNNNNNNNNNNNNNNNNNNNNNNNNNNNNNNNNNNNNNNNNNNNNNNNNNNNNNNNNNNNNNNNNNNNNNNNNNNNNNNNNNNNNNNNNNNNNNNNNNNNNNNNNNNNNNNNNNNNNNNNNNNNNNNNNNNNNNNNNNNNNNNNNNNNNNNNNNNNNNNNNNNNNNNNNNNNNNNNNNNNNNNNNNNNNNNNNNNNNNNNNNNNNNNNNNNNNNNNNNNNNNNNNNNNNNNNNNNNNNNNNNNNNNNNNNNNNNNNNNNNNNNNNNNNNNNNNNNNNNNNNNNNNNNNNNNNNNNNNNNNNNNNNNNNNNNNNNNNNNNNNNNNNNNNNNNNNNNNNNNNNNNNNNNNNNNNNNNNNNNNNNNNNNNNNNNNNNNNNNNNNNNNNNNNNNNNNNNNNNNNNNNNNNNNNNNNNNNNNNNNNNNNNNNNNNNNNNNNNNNNNNNNNNNNNNNNNNNNNNNNNNNNNNNNNNNNNNNNNNNNNNNNNNNNNNNNNNNNNNNNNNNNNNNNNNNNNNNNNNNNNNNNNNNNNNNNNNNNNNNNNNNNNNNNNNNNNNNNNNNNNNNNNNNNNNNNNNNNNNNNNNNNNNNNNNUGUAAUGUAAAGAGAUAGUGUAUAUGUACAGUGUAUAGACUGGUGCUUGACUUAUAAGAGUUGUAAUCCCUUUGUGUCGUUACAUGAUCAGUUUAUGUAUGUUUCUUUAUUGUUGUCUGUGUAUGAGCAAAACCAGGCUUAACAUUAUGAGUUUGAUCCGCCUAGAGCCAUGAGGAGCUCUAGUAGGGAUUGAUAGAGCACAGAGAGAGUGCAUGCACAUGUUAAGUCUGGAAAUGAAGGAAACUUUUAUGUUUUUCAGAAAAAAUAUGAUCAUGUACGGGAUUUCACAGGUAGACAGACAGGAUAGCAGUCUUACUACGGGUCCCGGCGACCUUAAGUCGAUCUGGAUCCUAGUGCCGGUGGCAGUUCGGUUUCCGGGCUGUUACAAGGUUUAGGUGAGGUUUUUGAAGAUCUUUGUGUAUAAGCAUGUUUAAGUGUUGCUUGAUAUGUUUGUUGAGGUUUUAGGAUAGUUUUGGACCUCUUUAUGCAUGAUAUAUGGUAGGUGCUAGUUGGGAGUAGUUGAUAUGCAUGUUGGGUAAGUUUUGGGAGAGUUUUGCAUGAAACAGAGCAGGGUUCUGCCCAAUGGGCAAAGCCAAGUUCGGCUGCCGAAAGAAGGUUCGGCCGCCGAAAGAAGGUUCGGCCGCCGAACCCCUUGUGGAGGCAGUUUCGGCUGCCAAAGCUUGCCUCCGAAAAUUUGAACUUUCGUCUCUCGAGGCAAGGUUCGGCCGCCGAAAGUGCCGCCGAAGGUUGAGUUUCGUCUCUGGACGAGACUUUUGGCUACCGAAGGUGCCGCCGAACAUGCAUGAGUUUCGUCUCUGGAGGGGGGUUUCGGCCGCCGAACCUGCCGCCGAAAGUGCCCUGUCCAGCCUUGUAAUACCCGGCUAGACUCCGGUAUCGGAAUUCCUACCGUCUGGUGGAAUUUGGAUGUCGAAAACCUCUAGAAGGGUAAAAUCAUGUUUUCAUAAAAUGUUUUCAUGUUUUUAAUGGUUUUAAAUAAAAAGGAAAUUGAGUUUUGAAUGAAAAGACCAUGGAGGCUUUUCCAGGUUCGGCAGCCGAAACUCAAAGUUCGGCCGCCGAACAUUUGAGAGUUUAGGAGGGAAGUUAGGCUUCCGAAAAUUGGCUCAGGUUCGGCCGCCGAACUUGCAUGAGUUUAGAGGGCACUUUAGGCCUCCGAAGGUGUCUGGCCAGCCCCUAUAUAAGAGCUCCAUGGCCGAAACGGGCGAGUUUUCUCCCCAUUUUCAGCCACGGUGAGUUCUUGCUCUCCCAUGGUUCGUUUUUGAUGUUUUUCCUCCAAUCUUUCACGUUUUAAUGAGUUUUAUGUCGAUUUGAAGGUUUUGAGCAUAUAGAGCAAGUUUUAGAACUUGGAGACCCAAGGAGCUAAAUCCCUCCCAACUCCAAGUUAGAUCGCCUCUACUCUCGAUGUUUAAGAGGUAAGAGUCGAUCUCUAGCCUAUAGUAUGUUUUAAAUAAGUUUUAUGCAAGUUCAUGGGGUAGAAAAUGCAUGUGUAAGCUUAUGAUGAGUUUAUGGGUUUUUGAUGAGUUUUUGAGCCAUGUGGCUUGAGUAUGUAUGUUUGAUGUGUUUUAGUUGGGGUUUAAGUUAGUUUGAAGCCCCUAGGAGCUUGUAUGCAUGUUUUGGUUGAGCUAAAUGCAUGAUGGUAUGAGUUGAGAGGCAUUUGUGCAUGUUUGAACCAAGUUUCUGCCCUUUGGGAGAAACCAGGUUCGGUAGCCGAAAGGACUUUCGGCCGCCGAACCCUCUUGUGGAGGCAGCAUUCGGCUGCCGAAGCCUGCCCCCGAAAGAGGACUUUCGUCUCUGUCUGGGAGGUUCGGCCGCCGAAGGUGCCCCCGAACAUGCAUGAUUUCGUCUCUGUCUGGGAGUUUCAGCCGCCGAACUUGCCUGACUUUCGGCUCUGGAGAGACUUUCGGCCGCCGAACCUGCCGCCGAAAGUGCCCUGUUCAGCCAUUUCUUGCAUGUUUUUCUAUGAUUGUUUCAGGAUAUUUUAGGGGGUUUUGGGGAGUAGUUUAGAGUUAUGUUUAUGUAUGUAUGGUCCCUCAUUUGAGUCCACCUGUGUAGGUUCGGACCCGAGGAACCGAGGACCCCAGCAGUGAGUCAGCUGCUCCAGUGUCUGGUCAGAGCUAGCCAGAGGUGAGUGGAAUAACUCCUUAUGUUUUAAAGCUAAUAAUGAAUGUUUUAGCAUGAUUCACGCAUCAUGAUAUGUUAGGGUGUUUGCAUUAGAAUUCACGAAUAUGUUGCAUUGCAUAAUAUAUUGUUGAUGUGGAUGAAUGUUGGAUGAUCCUUUAGUCCUCACCAUGAUAUGAGAUAUGAUGAUGAUAUGGUAUGAAAGACCAGUGAGGCCCAUUCUACGCCCCUGGCACGAUGUAAGAGAAAGACCAGUGAGGCCCAUUCUACGCCCCUGGCACAGUUGGACUGUUAUGUUAUGUUAUGCUAUGUAAGAGAAAGACCAGUGAGGCCCAUUCUACGCCCCUGGCACAGUUAGACUAUGUAGAGGGCUAUUGGUGACAAGUUCAUCCUUAUUCAUCCUUAAUGUGAAUUGUUUGUGAUGUGUAGCAUUCCAUGAAAGCAUGAAAUUUCUAAUAUGAUGUUUUAUUAUUCUGCUCACUGGGCUUUAUAGCUCACCCCUCUCCCCUAAGCCCCAGGUGUGCAGGUACAGGGUAGACUAGGAGGUCAGCAGGAGUAAAAGUCAGUUUUAUGUAAUAGUUAGAAGUUGUGGACAUGAUGAAUAUUGUAAUGUAAUGUCUGAUAUAGUAUUGUUAUGUAUUAAUGAUAUUGAGGAUUAGAGAGUGUGCUUGACCCUAUGUAUAUGGUUAUCCCUUUGUUACAUGAUCUAUAGAUUGUUUUUAUGAUGAUGUUCAUGAUAGUCCAAGCUUAAUGUAUGAUGAGAUACCCCAUUGGAGCAUUUGAUGAGGGCUCCAGUGGAGGUUUAUGUUUAUGCUUAUGAGUUUAUACAGGUUAAGCUUGGUUGAUGAAAGAAAAAAUUUCUACAGGUUUAUGUAUGUUGUUGAUCAUGUAUGGGAUUAAGCAGGUUCACAGGAUGCAUGUUAGGCUUGCUACGGGUCCCGGCGUCCUUAAGCCGAUCUGGAUCCUAGCGCCGGUAGUGGUCCGGUUGCUACGGGUCGUUACAGAGUGGUAUCAGAGCCCUAGGUUCAUAUGGUCGAACCUAGUGUGUCGAGCUCAUAGAGGUUAUAGAAGGUCAAGCACAAUAGGAAAGAUCAUGUCCACUAGGAUAGGAUGUUGAGUCCUGUCUUAUAUGAUUAUGCGAAAUGCCAUGAUUAUAUGCAUGUGCAUUAAUGCUAUGAUAUGUAUGCUAUGUAUGUGAUGCAGGUUCAUGUGUUUCCACAUGAACCAUAUGAUGCUGAUGUUCUAUGUGUUAUGUGCUGUUUUCAGAAAACAGGAUGAGAGGAACCCGUCGAUCUGCACGAUUGACUGGUGUACCACCCCAGAACGAGGGCACUGAUGCCCGUCCUCCAGCAUUACUUAGGGCAAUGUCAUGUAGAGCAAGCAGAGAAAGAGUGUCAAGGGACCCUAGAAGGUCUUUUGAUGCUAGCAGAAGGGGGACAGAUAGAGGAGGAAGUUCUUCAGAUGUGAGGGAGGUUAUGGAAGAGGAUCAGAGGAGGGAUGGGAAUCUGGAUGUCAGCAUGUCAGAAGAAGGGACAGGGGAGUCACAGGGAGGUGCUCAGGCCUCGGGGUAUGGUUUUCCACCCCAUUAUCCACCCUUUCCACAGGGUUCAGGGUAUCCGAUGGGGGCACAUCGGAUUACUCCAGCUUUCACCCCUACCCUACCUACAUGCCUUAUCCACCUUUCUAUCCACCUUACCCACAGUACCCAGCUUAUCCACCCUCACCCUUCUAUCCUAACCCAGCAAACCCCACCUCGGGGAAUGCUGCACCCCCACCUCCACCACCUACAGAACUAGCCACCCCAGUUGCUCAACCUCCUAGACCUAGCUCAGCCGGUGGGAGCAAAGUGAAGAUGACAGAUUACCUUAAGCUGGAUGCUCCCAAAUACAAAUCAGAGGAUGAUCCCUUUGAGUACCUGAGGGCAGUGAAGAUGAUCACUGAUGAGCUAGGAGCAGAUGACAGUAGGGCCAUCCAGAUGGCAGGGUUCACUUUAAAGUGCAAGAAGGCACGGGAAUGGUUCAAGUGUUAUGUGGACCCAAGACUAGACGGCAUGACAUGGGAGGAAUUUGCAAAUGAGUUUGCUGGAUGGGCCUUUCCAGACAGUUCCAGAGAACUGAAGAUGAUUGAAUUUGAGCAGCUGAGGCAGACAGAACAUAUGAGUGUAGAGGAGUACACGGAUAGAUUCUUGGAGCUAUUGCCUUUCUCAGGGCAAGCUCUAGAUACAGAUGCGAAGAAAGCCAAGAGAUACGUGAUGAAACUGCAUUCCAGGUACUCCUCAUUGAUUCAGUCAGUUGAGAGGGAAAGCUUCCACACUGUGGUUGACAUGGCUCGAAGGAUGGAGGCUAGUGCUAUCAUUGAGGGGUCAGUAAAGCAGCCAGUGACACAAUCUUCAGGGGUUAAGACCCCAGGCAGAGGAGGGCCAGGUCCCUCUUCUCAGAGUUCAAGCAGUAAGAGGUGGAGCACUACCACCAAGAAGCCAAAGAAGAACAAGUUCUAGAAUAAGUUGAAAUCCGGUCUAGGAUUAGGCGGUGGCUCGAGUUCAGGUUCAGAUGGUACAGAAUGCCUAAGGUGUGGGAGGCCACACAAGGGAGUGUGUCGGGCUGGGACUAAUGCAUGCUUCAGAUGUGGUCAGGAGGGACACAUGGCUCGGGAAUGUCCUAGAGCGCCUUUUAUGGGCCAGCCCCAGCAGACAGCUUCAGGUAGUGUGGCACAGCCAGCAGCUCCAGCCACAACUCAGGGCAGUGGCAGAGGUAGAAGGAGAGGGGCAGCUCUUCUUCUGGUUCCCGGGGUGAAGGUCCAUCAGCUCCAGCCAGGAUCUUCACCAUGACACAGCAGGAGGCUAACACAUCCAACACCGUGGUGUCAGGUAAUCUCAUCAUUGGGUGUUCUGAUGUGUAUGCAUUAAUGGACCCGGGUGCAUCUCAUUCUUUUAUUGCACCGAGAGCCGUCGAGAGGUUAGGUCUGAUGGUCUCUGGGUUAGAGUGUCCCCUAUGGGUCAGUGGACCCAAGUGUGACUCGUCAGUGGCAGAGUCAGUCUGCCAGUACAGUCCAGUUUUUGUUGAGGGAAGAUGCCUCUCCGCCGACCUUGUGGUUCUAGAUUUGACAGAUUUUGACGUCAUUCUAGGGAUGGAUUGGCUAUCUACCCAUGGUGCUACCUUGGACUGCAGAGACAAGGUAGUCAGGUUCAGAGAUCAGAACGGGUCAGAGGUCGUCUUCAGAGGAGACAAGAGGGGUACGUCUAGAGGUCUGAUAUCAGCCCUACAGGCUCGUAGGUUGCUUAGGAAGGGAUGUCAGGGGUAUGUGGCUCAUGUGAGAGAGCUAGAUAGACAGGUUAGGGAGCCAACCUCAGUGCCAGUCGUCAGAGGAUUUCAGGAUGUUUUCCCAGAGGAGCUUCCAGGACUACCACCUGCUAGGGAGAUAGAGUUUGAAAUUGAAUUAAUGCCUGGAACCAGACCGAUCUCUAUCCCUCCCUAUAGGAUGGCACCAGCAGAGUUGAAAGAGUUGAAAGAACAGUUGCAAGAUCUGGUAGAUAAGGGCUUCAUCCGACCGAGUACCUCACCUUGGGGUGCUUCAGUGCUUUUUGUGAGAAAGAAAGAUGGAUCCCUUAGACUUUGUAUCGACUACAGGCAGUUGAACAAGGUCACUACCAAGAAUAAGUACCCGUUACCAAGGAUCGACGAUCUAUUCGACCAGCUAGCAGGAGCAGGUUGUUUCUCCAAGAUAGAUCUGAGAUCAGGGUAUCAUCAGCUGAGGAUAAGGGAAGAGGAUGUACCAAAAACAGCGUUCAGGACCAGAUAUGGGCACUAUGAGUUCCUUGUAAUGCCGUUCGGGUUAACCAACGCCCCUGCAGCAUUCAUGGAUCUCAUGAACAGAGUGUUUAGCCAGUACCUGGAUCACUUUGUUAUUGUCUUCAUAGAUGAUAUCUUAGUGUAUUCCAGGAAUGCAGAGGAGCAUGCCCAUCAUCUGAGGAUAGUUCUACAGACCUUGAGGGAACAUGGCUUGUAUGCCAAGUUCUCCAAGUGUGAGUUCUGGCUGAGGAGCAUCUCUUUCUUGGGGCAUGUGGUGUCAGAAAAUGGAAUAGAGGUGGACCCCAAGAAAGUGGAAGCUGUAGCUAACUGGCCUAGACCCACUACAGUGACAGAGAUCAAGAGCUUCUUGGGUUUGGCUGGAUACUACAGGAGGUUCGUUCAGGACUUCUCCAAGAUUGCGGCUCCCAUGACCAGAUUAACUAAGAAGAAUCAGAGGUUUGUGUGGACCGACCAGUGUGAGGAAAGCUUUGAGGAGCUAAAGAAGAGGUUGACUUCAGCACCGGUGUUAGCUCUGCCGACUAGUAAUGAGGACUUCACAGUGUUUUGUGAUGCAUCCCGAGUGGGAUUGGGUUGUGUGUUGAUGCAAAAUGAUAGAGUGAUAGCUUAUGCUUCUAGACAGUUGAAGAAGCACGAGCUGAACUAUCCUACACACGAUCUUGAGAUGGCAGCAGUAAUCUUUGCACUCAAGAUGUGGAGGCACUACCUCUAUGGGGUAAAAUGUGAGAUCUUCACAGAUCAUAAGAGCCUGCAGUACAUCCUGAGUCAGAGAGAGCUGAAUCUGAGGCAGAGGAGGUGGGUUGAACUGCUUAGUGACUAUGAUUGCAAGAUACAGUACCAUCCGGGUAAGGCGAAUGUUGUGGCAGAUGCCUUAAGCCGAAAAUCACUUGGCAGUUUGUCCCACAUAUCAGCAGAGAGGAGGCCGGUGGUGAAGGAGUUUUACAAGCUCAUUAACGAAGGUCUACAGUUGGAGUUGUCUGGUACAGGUGCUUUGAUUGCCCAGAUGAGAGUGGCACCCGUGUUUCUGGAGCAGGUGGCUCAGAAAUAGCAUGAGGACCCAGAGUUAGUGAAGAUUGCUAGGACUGUUCAGUCAAGCAAAGACAGUGAGUUCAGAUUUGACAGUAAGGGGAUCCUCCGCUAUGGGAACCGUUUAUGUGUACCAUAUGACAUAGGGCUAAAGGGAGACAUUAUGAGAGAGGCUCAUAAUGCAAGAUACAUCGUUCACCCCGGAGCCACCAAGAUGUAUCAAGAUUUGAAGAAAGUUUAUUGGUGGCCAGCCAUGAAGAGAGAAGUGGCACAGUUCGUGUCAGCCUGCGAAGUGUGUCAGAGGGUGAAGCUAGAACAUCAGAAGCCGGCUGGAAUGUUGAACCCACUGCCGAUUCCAGAGUGGAAAUGGGAGAAUAUCGCUAUGGACUUCGUAGUGGGGUUACCGGCGACGUCCAACAGAUUGGACUCCAUAUGGGUGAUUGUGGAUAGACUCACCAAAUCUGCUCACUUCAUCCCUGUCAGGAGUGGCUAUUCUGUGGACAAGUUGGCGCAGGUGUAUGUGGAUGAGGUUGUCAGGCUGUAUGGGAUUCCUGUUUCUAUAGUGUCUGAUAGAGGGCCCCAGUUCACCUCCAGGUUUUGGCGGAGUCUGCAGGAUGCUAUGGGUACCAGGCUAGACUUCAGCACUGCUUUCCAUCCUUAGACUGAUGGACAGUCAGAGAGGACCAUCCAGACUAUAGAAGAUAUGCUUAGAAUGUGUGUGCUAGAUUUUGGCGGUUCUUGGAGGCAGCAUCUACCUCUGGUGGAGUUUGCCUACAAUAACAGCUAUCAUGCUAGCAUCGGGAUGGCUCCAUAUGAAGCUUUGUAUGGAAGGAAGUGCAGGUCACCCGUCUGUUGGGAAGAAGUAGGAGAAAGGUCCUUGACAGGACCCGAGCUAGUAGAGAUUACCAGCAGGGUGGUGCCCAUGAUCAGAGAAAGGAUUAGAACGGCCAUGAGUCGUCAGAAGAGCUAUGCAGACAUCCGCAGAAGGCAAGUAGAGUUCCAGGAGGGGGAUUUGGUAUUGCUCAAGGUGUCUCCAAUGAAAGGGGUGAUUCGGUUCGGGAAGAAAGGUAAGCUAGCCCCACGGUACAUCGAACCCUUCGAAAUCUUGCAAAAGAUUGGGAAUGUAUCGUACAAGCUGGACUUGCCUGCUUCAAUGGAAUGAAUCCAUCCGGUUUUCCAUGUUUCCAUGUUGAAGAAGUUCGUGUCCGAUCCGGGCAAGGUUCUUAGUGAGCCUGAUGUGGAGAUCCAAGGGGAUCUCACCUAUGUUGAGCAGCCAGUACGGAUCCUAGACACCCAGAUCAGAAAGCUAAGGAACAAGGAAAUCCCGAUGGUAAAAGUCCUUUGGAAUCACCACAACAUCGAAGAGUGCACCUGGGAGACACGGGAGUCCAUGCUCCAGCAAUAUCCCCAUCUCUUUUAAGGUUAGUACCUAUGUGUUUUAUGUGUUGUAUGCUAUGCAUGUGCUAGUUGAGGAACAUUCGGGGAUGAAUGUUCUUAAGGGGGGAGAAUGUAAUACCCGGCUAGACUCCGGUAUCGGAAUUCCUACCGUCCGGUGGAAUUUGGAUGUCGGAAACCUCUAGAAGGGUAAAAUCAUGUUUUCAUAAAAUGUUUUCAUAUUUUUAAUGGUUUUAAAUAAAAAGGAAAUUGAGUUUUGAAUGAAAAGACCAUGGAGGCUUUUCCAGGUUCGGCCGCCGAAACUCAAAGUUCUGCCGCCGAACAUUUGAGAGUUUAGGAGGGAAGUUAGGCUUCCGAAAAUUGGCUCAGGUUCGGCCGCCGAACUUGCAUGAGUUUAGGGGGGCACUUUAGGCCUCCGAAGAUGGUCUGGCCAGCCCCUAUAUAAGAGCUCCAUGGCCGAAACGGGCGAGUUUUCUCCCCAUUUUCGGCCACGGUGAGUUCUUGCUCUCCCAUGGUUCGUUUUUGACAUUUUUCCUCCAAUCUUUCACGUUUUAAUGAGUUUUAUGUCGAUUUGAAGGUUUUGAGCAUAUAGAGCAAGUUUUAGAACUUGGAGACCCAAGGAGCUAAAUCUCUCCCAACUCCAAGUUAGAUCGCCUCUACUCUCGAUCUUCAAGAGGUAAGAGUCGAUCUCUAGUCUAUAGUAUGUUUUAAACAAGUUUUAUGCAAGUUCAUGGGGUAGAAAAUGCAUGUGUAAGCUUAUGAUGAGUUUAUGGGUUUUUGAUGAGUUUUUGAGCAAUGUGGCUUGAGUAUGUAUGUUUGAUGUGUUGUAGUUGGGGUUUAAGUUAGUUUGAAGCCCCUAGGAGCUUGUAUGCAUGUUUUGGUUGAGCUAAAUGCAUGAUGGUAUGAGUUGAGAGGUAUUUGUGCAUGUUUGAACCAAGUUUCUGCCCUUUGGGAGAAACCAGGUUCGGCAGCCGAAAGGACUUUCGGCUGCCGAACCCUCUUGUGGAGGCAGCAUUCGGCUGCCGAAGCCUGCCCCCGAAAGAGGACUUUCGUCUUUGUCUGGGAGGUUCGGCCGCCGAAGGUGCCCCCGAACAUGCAUGAGUUUCGUCUCUGUCUGGGAGUUUCGGCCGCCGAAGGUGCAGCCGAACCUACCUGACUUUCGGCUCUGGAGGGACUUUCGGCCGCCAAACCUGCCGCCGAAAGUGCCCUGUUCAGCCAUUUCUUGCAUGUUUUUCUAUGAUUAUUUCAGGAUAUUUUAGGGGGUUUUGGGGAGUAGUUUAGAGUUAUGUUUAUGUAUGUAUGGUCCCUCAUUUGAGUCCACCUGUGUAGGUUCGGACCCUAGGAACCGAGGACCCCAGCAGUGAGUCAGCUGCUCCAGUGUCUGGUCAGAGCUAGCCAGAGGUGAGUGGAAUAACUCCUUAUGUUUUAAAGCUAAUAAUGAAUGUUUUAGCAUGAUUCACGCAUCAUGAUAUGUUAGGGUGUUUGCAUUAGAAUUCACGAAUAUGUUGCAUUGCAUAAUAUAUUGUUGAUGUGGAUGAAUGUUGGAUGAUCCUUUAGUCCUCACCAUGAUAUGAGAUAUGAUGAUGAUAUGGUAUGAAAGACCAAUGAGGCCCAUUCUACGCCCCUGGCACGAUGUAAGAGAAAGACCAGUGAGGCCCAUUCUACGCCCCUGGCACAGUUGGACUGUUAUGUUAUGUUAUGCUAUGUAAGAAAAAGACCAGUGAGGCCCAUUCUACGCCCCUGGCACAGUUGGACUAUGUAGAGGGCUAUUCGUGACAAGUUCAUCCUUGAUGUGAAUUGUUUGUGAUGUGCAGCAUUCCAUGAAAGCAUGAAAUUUCUAAUAUGAUGUUUUAUUAUUCUGCUCACUGGGCUUUAUAGCUCACCCCUCUCCCCUAACCCCCAGGUGUGCAGGUACAGGGUAGACCAGGAGGUCAGCAGGAGUAAAAGUCAGUUUUAUGUAAUAGUUAGAAGUUGUGGACAUGAUGAAUAUUGUAAUGUAAUGUCUGGUAUAGUAUUGUUAUGUAUUAAUGAUAUUGAGGAUUAGAGAGUGCGCUUGACCCUAUGUAUAUGGUUAUCCCUUUGUUACAUGAUCUAUAGAUUGUUUUUAUGAUGAUGUUCAUGAUAGUCCAAGCUUAAUGUAUGAUGAGAUACCCCAUUGGAUCAUUUGAUGAGGGCUCCAGUGGAGGUUUAUGUUUAUGCUUAUGAGUUUAUACAGGUUAAGCUUGGUUGAUGAAAGAAAAAAUUUCUACAGGUUUAUGUAUGUUGUUGAUCAUGUAUGGGAUUAAGCAGGUUCACAGGAUGCAUGUUAGGCUUGCUACGGGUCCCGGCGGCCUUAAGCCGAUCUGGAUCCUAGCGCCGGUAGCGGUCCGGUUGCUACGGGUCGUUACAAGCCUUCUUUUGCAUGUUUUAUGUGAUUGCUUUAGGAUCUUUUAGAGGGCUUUUAGGGGAGUUUUUAGAGAUGUUCUUGAGUUAGUCCGGUCCCUCAUUUGAGUCCACCUGUGUAGGAACGGACCAGAGGAAUCAGGGAGGUCAGCAGUGAGCACUGUUUCAGAACCUGCAGAGUUAGUACAGAGUUAGCCAGAGGUGAGUGGAACUGAACUUAAAUUCAUUUUAAUAUGAGAAAGUAAAUGUUUUUGGCAUGUGGCAUGCAUCAUGAUAUGCAAUAGGGUGAUUGCAUUAGAACUCACUAAGAUGUGCAUUGCAUAAUUGGUUGUAUUUGCGGACGGACACAGAGUUGAUUCAUUAGCCCUUCUCUUUAUCAAGUCCUGAGGAGCCCCUUUGAGGGCCGGGCAUUAUCAAGACCUGAGGAGCCCCUUGAGGGCCGGGCAUUGCAUGUUUAUCAAGUCCUGAGGAGCCCGAAGGGCCGGGCACUGCAUGAUUUAUAAAGACCUGAGGAGCUCCCUUGCGGGCCGGGCACAGAGAAGGGAGUUUUGUUUCAGUCCGUUCGGAAGGUGAUUACUUGUGAUGUGAUGCAUUUCAUGAGAUCAUGUUUUAUUCAUAGGUCUUACAUGUUCUACUCACUGGGCUAGUAUAGCUCAUCCCUCUCCCUUAACCCCAGUUUUGCAGGUUCAGAGUUCAAAGGGAAGUCAGCAGGGUACAGGAAGAGUAUAGAGUUUUGUAAUAGCUAGUGUGGACAUGUAAUUGUAAAGAGAUAGUGUAUGUUGUACAGUGUAUAGCAUUGUGCUUGACUUAUAAGAGUUGUAAUCCCUUUUGUAUAUACAUAGUCUGUUCAUGAAAAUGAUUUUUAUUGUAUAUGUAUGAAAAACCAAGCUUAACAGGAGAUGACCCGCCUAGAGCAAGGAUGAGAGCUCUAGCAGGGGUUUUAUAGUACAGAGAUAAAGUAUGCACAGGUUGAGCCUUGGAACAGAGAACAGUUUUAACUUUUACAGAAAAUGUAUGAUCAUGUAUGGGAUUUCACAGGUACACAGAGUUCACAGCAGGCUUGCUACGAGUCCCGGCGGCCUUAAGCCGAUCUGGAUCCUAGCGCCGGUAGCAGUUCGGUUUCCGAGCUGUUACACCCUUUGUGCAAUGUUCUAUACAGGCCAAAGUUAUUAGGAUGGUUAUCCACCUGGUCCGUAAUACUGUCGGCCUACGAUAUCAAGUAUGUUCCAAGAAACGUCAUGAAAGCCCAUGUGUUAGCUGAUUUUAUUUUAGAGAUGACUCCGCCGUUAGAACCUUUAGGGUCCUCGGAGGAAAGCACAGAGGAAUGGAAAGUCUGGAUAGAUGGAGCUUGUGGAGCAAGGGAUUUAGGAAUCGAGAUCCUAUUGCAAUCUUAGACAAUAAUAAAGUUUCGAUAUGCGGCCAAUCUCACCUUUAAGGCCACCAACAAUAUAGCUGAAUAUGUGGCCAUAAUAAUGGCCUUAAGAAUCAUCAAGCAAAGGUAUACCAAAGUCCAUUAUUUUUAGUAACUCACAAUUGGUUGUUAAUCAAUACUAGGAACAAUUUAGAGUUCGAGAACAUAAUCUUAUCAGAUACAAGGAGAAGGUUCGGUCCUUAAUGGGCAGGAUCAAAGAUGGGCGAGGCAGCUGCGAACUUUGCCAGGUAAACAGAGGCAACAAUGAAAAGACGAAACUUUAAAUCAAUUAGAUCAUACAAUCAAUUGAAUUGAAACUUUAAUUAUCCUUCAAUUGAAAAAGAAGAAUUUAGCCACAAAUGUUCAUGGUUUAAAAACAGCAAGAAGAAGAGUGUUUUUAGCCUUCUAAAAUUAAUUCAGAGCAAAAAGUGAUGUUGUACAUCAAAAUAUCAUCUUUAUAUAGUACUAAAAAUUCUAAUUCAACCUAAAUACGAGUGACCAAAAUAAGAUUGGAAGGUUUUCCCCAAAAGAGUAGAGUUUGAUAUGUAUUGACAAAUGAGGAUUUUCUAAUCGGGUAUCAUAUUUGGAACUGGACUCUGAUUUUUCUCUUCAAAUAUGUUAUGCCACUAAUAUCGUCCAUAACACAGUACGUAUAAGAGUUAUGCUUCCUUAUUCUCUUGUGAAUUUAGUUAUGCCCACAACUUUUUUUAAUUUCAGAAUGUAGAGUCCAAACACAAGUUUUCUCUUGUUAUUAUUCAAUCCAUAUUUAUCCUAUCAAUGUAUCAAAACUCAAAUAAAUUAAUCUAUUUUAAGUAGAAUCAAACUCAAAAUCUAAGUGUUUUAGAAUAUUAAAACUACACAAAUAUGCAGAUUAUGAUCAAACAAAUCAUCUAGUAAAUGCAUCGUUGAGAUAUUUGGAUGAGUUUCUGAAUAGUCUGCCAAAUGCAUGUCCAAUACAAUCACGAAUGAUCAAAUUAACAUGGAAUGGAAAAGACCUGCUAGAGAAAUAGUCAAAAUCAAUUUUGAUGGGGUAGUGAAUAGCACGGAAAAUAGAGGGUCAAUUGCAGUGAUCGUCCGAAACGAGGAAGGAACAAUCUUAGCUGAAGGUGCAAGAGAAUGAUAAAGAUAACUGACCUUUUAACUCUAGAAGCAAUAGCAGCAAGAGAGGCAGCUAAUGUAGCAGCUAACUAUAAGAUCAUAAGAGUUUAUAUUGAAGGAGAUUUCAUGGAAGUUGUUCAAUCCUUAAAAAGAGUUAAGCCUAGUCCAACGAUCAAAGGAAUAAUAACAUACUCUGAUUUUCUUAUGGCAAAGUCAUGUCAAUAUGAAAAAGAACAAAGCAGUUCAUUGUAAAGCAAAAAAGACACUAAUCUAUAAUUCUUUUUUCUGUAAUUCUUUAACGCAAUUAAUUUUAUACUUUUCAUUUUAUUCGUUAAAGGGCCAAUUAUUUUCUUGUUCCUUUUCCCAUUCGCCCCAUUGAAUUCACCCUUUAUUUUCUUUUUGUCAAUUCUGCAUUCAAUCAAACAUAAUAAUAUCUUUAAUCCUUUAAAAUAUCAAUUUAAACCUAUAAUUUUGAAUACAUGCUUCUGAAAAAUAAUAUAAUUUUAUUGUACUGUCACAAGCAAUUGAACGGAGAAAUUUGUAGAUAAUUAAAAAUAAUUUAGAUUGUGAAUCAAUAUUAAAUUAAAAAUACUUUAAGUUUGCAAAGAGAAAAGAAAAAAAAAUAUAAUGGGUGAAUUAAUUGUGAAAAUGAAAAGAAAAAAGGCAAAAAAUACAGAAUGUCCAGAGGUGGAGAGUACAAAAUCCAGAAAUAACAGCAAGUCGCUCUUCGUAAGAGCAGAGAUGAGGAUGCAUUCUGGGCUUUUGAGAUUCAAACCUGACAAUCUGUUCAUAAAACAUAGCCGGGAUCAAUUCCAUCCAAAUCUGCAGAAGUUCUGAGCUCACUUUCUACCAUUUUCCUGUUGAUGACAAACUGAAAUCAGCAUUUAGCAUAAGUUUCAAGACAGCCCAUUGGAACCCAUUUAUGCAUUUCAAUAGAAGAGCUAGGAAGCCACAGCUUUUAAUACCUAUCACGAUUACAAGAACAUUGAUGGUUAGAUUAUUUUAUCCGAUAUUCCAGGAAACUGUAAGAGUUGACAAUAGUUUUAUCACAAAUCAUACAGAACGACAAUUCGUAUAAUGGAAAAUUUAAACAAAAAGAAAAAAGUUGAACAACAGAGGAGUUUAGAGAACUAAAAAUGAAAAAUUCCCCAAAAACUUAAAAAUUGUUAUGAUAUUAGAAAACAACAGAAAUGAAUUGAAAGCAAUCCUCACAUUUGUUGGAGUACUGUGAAGUCUUGUUUAAUUGCGUAUAACAACGCGGGGGAUAUGAGAAAUGAUAGGCCAGUAGUCUCCCCCUUUUUCUUUUAAGCAACGAUCCCGAAGCAGAGGGCAGUUGUCAAUACAUAGGCAUUCAAGUGUAGCAGGGAAGCCCUCAGCUGGGAAGGACUGCAGUUUUGGGCACCUCCAAAUUUCUAAUUUUUCAAGAGAGAUGAGCUUUUGGAUACCCAUGGAUAUGGAUUUUAGAUUCUUGAAUCCAGCAAUGAAGAGGUGGGUAAGAGAAGUGGGAAGCAGAAAGCCGUCAUCAUCUGGGAAGGAAAUAAUAUCUCCACUUGACUUCAUGCUGCCAAUGCCCAAUUUUCUGAGAGAGGUGAGCCCGUGGAGUCCCCACUCUAGCAUUGGCUGUUUCAGAUUCAAGCAUGCACCCAUGGAAAGCAUAGUUAGGUUUGGAGGCAAACAUUCUAUUGAGCACUCUAUAGCUGCUCCACAAUCUGACAUAUUUAUAGAUUGAAGGGAAGUGAGGCUUUGCAUCUGAUUCGGCAGAGACUUCAAAUUUUUGCACCGAUGAACUUCGAAAGAGACAAGCUUGGGAUUGCGCAAUCCCAUCUCUGGGAACAACUCUAAUCGAGGACAGUUGCCUAUUUCUAACUGUUGCAGACUCUGGAGGUCCUGCAUGUGAUUGGAUAGAGACCUCAAUCCUUCACAGCCAGCGAUUUUUAAAGAGAUAAGAGAAGGGAUGGGCAAUUCCUUCCCAGGAAAGGAUUCUAAUUGAGGACAGUUCCAUAUUUGCAAAUCUGUAAGAUGAGAAAGCCCAUAAUAUAGCGAGUUUAAUAAUUGUGUCGUCCAGUUGUGGAUUUCCAAGGUCUUCAGGAAAUCAGGAAACUUUCCAUUUGAAGAGGACCCCAGAGAUUUACAUCCAGAGAUACGCAACUUCCCGAGAUGAGACGUGUCGCUGCUGUAUUUACUGUGGGACACAAUCCCCUCCGGAAGAGACUCCAAAGCUCCACAGUUUUGCAGACUAAGACAUAUCAAGUUGUGCGGCAAACCCCCUGCAGGGAAGGAAACUAAACUUCUACAUUGGCUUAUUCUCAAAUCUUUGAGAGAUUUGAGGUCUUUCAGUCCACUUGGCAACUCCUUCAGAUUUGGACACUGAUCUACCUCCAAAACUUCAAGACUGCAUGGCAAUAGCUCUUCUUCUCCAUCUACCAAUGAUGCAAGAUCAAGACAUUCUAUAAUUUGCAAACUAGUAAGAGAGGUGGCAUUAGUCACACUCUUGAGAAUUGCCUCUUGACAUCUUCUAAUAGAGAGUGCUGCAAGUGAUGGGAGAACUUUUGGUAAUUCAACCAAGCGCGGGCAAUUAUUAAUAACAAGUUUUUCGAGGGAAGGAAGGAAGUUGGGCAAUUUUCCAGCCAACUUGGGACAAUUAUGGAGUCGAAGUUCAUGCAGCUUAGGAAAUUUUACCACAGAAUCUUCGCCCAGACCAUUUGACCAAGCCCACUGCUCCCACUUACCCAUAUUAACAAUCUCUAGCAUUUCCAAACAAGAAAAAAAUGAAUCAUCCUCAUAAAACUCAACACCCACUUCUUUUACUCUACUUAAACCUUUUAUGCUCAACUUUUUUAAUGACUUUAAUCGUCCGAGUGGUGGCAGUGAAGUAAUUUGAUGACAGUUGCUUAGCUCCAACUGCACCAUGCUAGAGAAUGAAGGCUCACCUAGCCACGAUGGGAAUUUCCUACCACUAAAUGAUUUAAUUGAUAGGCUUGACAGACUAUGAUGUGGCUGCAUUGAGUUGAGAACUUGUUCUUCAUGACUUGGGUUUCUCAAAUCAUAAGAAAAUUCAUCAGUCCAUUUCAAGUGUAACUCGGUGAUACCAGGCUUAUCCUUCAAAUUGGCAAAACCCGCAUCUCGAAUAUCUUCAACUUCCACAUUCUCUAAACUUGUAAUAUGAAUCUGCCCCCGCAGAUCACAAAGUUUCUUCAGCUCUGUGAUCCGUCCAUUGCUUUUCCCCACGAUAAAUUUGGUCAACACGCAGAGACUAGUCAAAUUACCAAUAUGUGGUGGCAUCUCUUUCAAUUUCCUUGUGCCAAUAAUGUCAAGAUGCUGCAAGUUGAGUAAAUUGCAUAUGCCUUUAGGCAACUCAAUAAGCUCAUAACAAUGAUGCAACUUUAAUGUCUGUAAGUUGGAGAGUUUAUCCACUGAUUCAGGCAACCCUUUGAUUAAAGUAAUAGACAGGUUGAGGUAGCGCAAGUGCUUCAAGUCACCAAUAGAAUCCGGCAACUCCUCAAUCACAAGGUGAGUUAGAGAUAGCGACCUUAAGCAUUUUAAUUUUGGCACCAACUCAUGCACCACCUUACUAGUUAAGUAGCAUCUCCCCACAUAACGACUCCAGGAUAACAAUGUCCGCAAGUUCUUCAUUUCAUAGAAGCUUUGAAAUCUUUGAAAAGUGUUCAUAAAAUGAGGAAUAAAUGAAGAAUGUCUAAUCUUUGCAUAUGAUUUUGCAUUCUGCAACUUACCAACCAUAUGCAAACAUACUUCUCUGCUAACAAAGCAAGCUAAAUCAACAAUUAGGUCAUGCAUUAUAUAUUUUGAUUUAUUAUCAUUUGAUUGUUGAAAAAACGAUCUUGAUAAUAAAUCAUCAAAAUAAUUUUGACCCAAACCUUCACUAUCCUUCAUUUUCUUCUUGUCAUACAAGAAACCCUCAGCCAUCCACAGCAAAACCAAUUCAUUCCUAUCAAACUCGCGAUCCUUUGGUAGUAUUGCGCAAUAAGAGAAACAUCGCUUUAACUGAGGUGGAAGAUGAAAAUAGCUCAACUUCAAGGCUGGAAGGAUAUUGUUCCUAUUGUCUGGUAAUUCCCACAUCUCACUGCUCAACACUUCCUUCCACAAAUCAGGAUUUGGUUUACCCUUUAAGAUGCCUCCAAGAGCUUUUGCUGCCAAAGGUAAUCCUCCACAUCUUUUGACAAUCUCCUCACCUAUUUCUUUUAGCUCCAAAUGGUCGUCAAAAUUAUUUGCUCCCAGAGCAUGCUGGGCAAACACAGACAUACAUUCAUUGUGUGAGAGCUUCUUAAGAGAAUAUGCUGGAGUGGCACCCAUCAUUAGUGAAACAUCUUGACUUCGAGUUGUGACGAUAACUCUGCUUUGAGCUGCCCCUGCUUCAAAAGGACCCCAAAACAGAGUCCAUUGCUCAUAGUUCUGGGUCCAAACAUCAUCUAGGACAACUAAAAACUUCUUCCAAGACAACUUUUGCUUCAAUUUUACCUGAAGCAAAUUUAAAUCAUUGUCAUCACCACCAUCUCCCAAUUGAUGAAGAACUGUUUUCGUGACCCUGAAAACAUCAAAAUCUUCACCAACAGACACCCAAGCUUUCAAAUCAAACUCCAACAUGGGAUCAUUGUAGACUAGCUGAGCUAGAGUUGUCUUGCCAAGGCCUCCCAUUCCAACUAUGGAAAUCACAGACACCUGGGUAUCACUUGUCUCAGCAUUCAACAAUUUCAACAUCGCCUCCUUAUCUUCCUCCCUACCAUAAACCUUGGCUUCGUUAACCAAAGAGGUUGAGGGUGGUCUUUCUGUCACAUGGCUGACCCUCCUAUUAGACUCAGCUAAAUGGAGUUCAUCUUUCUGCUUUAUGAUCUCAUCUAAUCUAGCACUAGUUUCCUCUAUUUUGGCAACCAUCCCAGCAUUGAACUUAAUAGUAUUUAAAUUUAGAUUACCACACAUAGCAGAGAGAAGCUUGUGCACCUUAUCAUUUGGACGAACAGGCUUGUCUACCAACUUGCGUCGUUGAACCUCCGUGGCAAGUUCAUCCAUUAUAUCCUCGAGGUCGUGAGCCAAGUCUCUGAGAUCGCUUAGCCAGAUCUCCACCGAUUGGUCUGCCGUCUGCUUCUCCUCUGCAUCUUCAAGCACUACAUAAAUUCGCUGGAGCAUCUUUUCCCACUUCUUGAGUUGAGCCAAGACUUGACCUUGGCCUACGUAUUUCUUUAAGUCAAUGGAACUCAACCUGUCGAAAAGCCCCUGAAAGCAAACAGAGAGGAUAGAGCCUCCAACAGCAGUCGCAAUUUCCAUGGCAAAGAGUGAGUUGUGAGAGCAGAAAGAAACUAUGAAAUCUCAAGAUUCAAGGGAAGAGUUUGUAAACACAUAGCAUUGGAAGGAGAAAGGAAAGAAAAAAAAAGGGAAAUGCAAGGCUUCUCUGAUGCUCUAUUGGUGUCCCGCCAAAAUAUUUUUUAAUAUUUAAUAAAAUUUAAUAUUUUUAAUAUAAAUAUAAUUAAAAAAUUAAUAAAAAAUUGUCUCUUUUAAUAAACUAAAAUAUCAAUUUAUUUGGAGUUUAAAUAUAUUUUAAUUAAAUUUGUCUUUCUAUUUAGUUUUUGCCUUUCAAUUUUAAUUGCACUAAAAAAUUUUUAUAAUGCUAAAUUAGACAAAUGGUAUAUUUAUAAAUUAUAUAUUAUAAGAAUAAAGAUUAUACUUUAUUUUUAUUUUAAAUGAGAUAUGUUAUAAUUUAAAAAAAAAUAGAUUCAAAAUUUUUAGUAGUUUUUUUGUUUUUAAUAAGUUUGUAUAAAAAUUAAUUUUAAAGGAAAAAAUAAUUUUUUAUUUUAUUUUUUAUAAAAAAUGUGUAAUGUUACGUCACAUAUUAAAGUCAUUAUUUUGAUUUUUCAGUUUUAUAAGGUGAAUGGAACUUUUCAUAUUUUUUUUAUUUUUUAAAUCAAUUUUAAUGUAAAUCAAUUUAAAAAUGAAAAAUUAGUUUAUUUUAUUAAAUAUAUAUUUAAUAUUACAGAAUUGAAAUCUUUUAGGAAUUGAUACUCCCACUUUAUACAAAACCAGCUGUUUCUUUCGUUAUGUUCUUGAGAGCUUAGAGAAUUAUAUGUACGAGAAAGAUAACCCUAAACACGUGAUUAGAGCUUAACAGAAAAUAAAUAAAUAAAAUUCUAAACACGUUAUUAGAGUUUAACAGAAAAUAAAUAAAUAAAACACAAAAUAAAGUAAUAAAAUGAAUAUUUUCUGAUUUAUAGAAAAAUAGAAUUUAUAAUGAUUGAGUAAGUUUAGACUGAGGGGAAGGUGUUUCUCUUUUUUUAUUUUUUUUUUAUCACUGACGUUUAACGACCUUUCUGCUACAGGAACGUCUAUUUUUAUCGUUCAGUUUCGUACGUACAGUGAUGUCAGUUCCCCUUACUCAUACCAGGCGGCCAUUUAAUUACUCUCAGAACGUAUGCAAGAAGAAUUGCGAAAAGACCGAACCUGUUACCCAUUCUUGAGUCCCAUCACGGGGCUAGUUUCAACAACAGGUUAUAGGCUCAAAGAUGGCCCAAAUUGACUGAUGUCUUCAGGUCUGAUCCAUUGCUGCGGGCAGACUUUCUUUAAGUCACUCUAGGCUUUGAGCCGACUUAAGCUAUCAUGGAUCUGGCCCGACCUCGGAGGAGAAGAGAUUCGGCGGUUAUCAUAUUAUAAUCUUUACACAUUUGGACUUGCAAUACGAUAGCUUUUGAAAUUAGAAGCUUACGCUCACUAUAAUAUUAAUAUUAUAUUAUUAUAUUAAUUUAUUAAAAUAAUAAAAAAUUUUAUUAUUAAAUAAAUAUAUAUAAUAUUAUUAAAUUAUUUUUAUAUAUUUAAUUAUAAUUAAAUUAUUUUUAUAUAUCUAAUCCGAAUAUAAUAUUAAUUUUAUAAUUUUAAAAUUAUAUAAUAUCAAUAAUUUUUAUUUAAAUAUUAAUAAUAAAAUUUAUUAAAAUAUUAAUAUAUUAAAAUUAUAAAAAAUAUUUAUUAUUAUAUAAAUAUAAUAUAAAUAAUAUUAUUAAAUUAAUAUAAUAUAAGUAUAUUAUUAUAAUAUAUUAAUAAUUAAAAAAAUAAAACUGUUAAGUGGUGUAUACAAUAAUUUUAAAAAAAUAAAAAAUAAAAUAAAUAAUAGUCUCGCGCUGUUAAACUAUUAUUUUUUCUAAAAAAGAAAAUCUUAGCAUUUUUAUAAAAUGUGUCCGAAAAGGCAGUUGGAAUCAUGUUUACCAUACAGAUCAAAUUCAAAUCCAUAGAUAUUUUGUUUUCAAUCUGCCAAUUUUUUUGUUAUUUUGAACCUAAAUCCACAAAAACCCCUCUAUACCUCAACAAUCUGACACAGAGAUAGAUUGAAGGGAAAUGAGGCUUUGCAUCUGAUUGAGUAGAGACCUCAAAUUUUUGCACCGGAAAAUUUAAAAUGACACAAACUUGGGGUUGGGCAAUCCCAUCUCUGGGAACAACUCUAAUUGAUGACAGUUCCAUAUUUCUAACAUUCGUAGACUCUGGAAGUUCUGCAUGUGAUUGGAUAGAGACCUCAAUCCUUCACCGUCUGUGAUUUUUAAAGAAACAAAACAAUAGAAGGGAUGGGCAAGUCCUUACCAGGAAAGGAUUCUAAUUGACGAUAAAUCUGUAAGAUGAGAAAGCCCAUAAUAUAGCGUGUGUCGUCCAGUUGUAAAUGUCAAGAGUCUUAAGGGAAUCAGGAAACUUUCCAUUUGAAGAAGAAUUGAGGGAUCCACAUCGAAAGACAUGCAAUUCCUCGAGAUGAGACAUCUCACUACUGUAAUUACUCUGACACAUAAUUCCUAUGGGUGUAAUCGAACCGAGUCGAGCCGAAUUUUGUAAAACUCAAGCUCGUUUAUUAAAAAAAUUUGGAAGCUCGAACUCUAAUAUUUGAUUCGAGUUCGGCUCGAAAAUUAAAUAUUAUAAUCGAGCUCGAUUCGAACUCGACUCGUGAAAGGUUCGUUCAGUUUAAUAACGAGCCUAAUUCGAGUUCGAGCUCAAAAAACUCGAUUAAGAAGCUCGUUAAUUAAACUUGAGCUUGAACUCGAAAAGCUCGAUUAAGAAACUCGUUAAAAAAGCUCGAAUAAUAUUAAUAAUUAUAAAUUUUUAGUAAUAAUUAUAUAAAUAUAUUAAUAAUAAUUAAUUAAAUAUUUAUAGUAGUAUCUAGUUUAAAAAGAUUUUUAUAAUUAUACUUUAAUUUUAAAAAGUAUCUAGUUUUACAAUUUAAUUUAUCAGGUAAUACUGCUUGAAUAAUAAUAUUAAAAAGUACUUAUUAUUAUUUGAAAUUUCUAAAAAUAUAAUUUUUAAUUAUUUAUAGUAUUGAUGUAGGACUGAUUAUAUUUUUUCAAGUUAAAACUUUUAACCAAUAAUACUUGGUUAAAAUGAAAUUUGAAAACGAAAUGUCAGAAAUCGAAAAUUAUUGUCGAUAAUUAUUAUUUUUAACCAAUAAUACUUUGAUACUUUAAUCAAUAAUGUUUAAUUAAAAUUUUUAACUAAAAAAUACUUGAUAAUAUAUAUUGUUUACUUAAUUAAUUAUUAUUAAUAUACUUUGAUAAUUAUUACCAUCUUUUAUAUUGUAUGCUUAAUUAUAUACAAAAAAAUUUUAUAAUUAUACUUUAAUUUUAAAAUUAUAUAAUUUUUACAACUCAAUUUAUCAUGUAGUACUAUAAUUUUAAAGAAUACUUAUUAUAAUAAUUAAUAUUAAUUAUUUGUGAUUAUACAUUAAUUUUAUUGAAUCUUAUUAUAAUAAUUAUAUACAAAAGAUUUUUAUAAUUUAAUUUUAAAGAAUACUAAUUAUAAUAAUUAAUCUUAAUUAUUUGUAAUUUUCAAUACUAUAAUUUUCAAGUAUUUAUAAUAGUUUAAAUUUUAUAACUUUAUAGUUAUUUUUAUUUUUUUAAUAAUAUAUGAACUUGUUCAUAAAUUUAUUUAACGAAUUAGUUCACCAAUUUAUUUAAACAAUAUUACUCACGAGCCUUCUCAACGAGCCAGCUCGCGAGCCUUCUCAACAAGUCAGCUCGCGAGCCUUCUCAACGAGCCAGCUCGCGAGUCUUAACGAACCGAAUACUAUUGAGCUCAAGCUCGGCUCGUUUAAGUGACGAGCCUCAAAAUUGAGCUCGAGCUUAACUCGUUUAAAAAACGAGCCGAACUCGAUCGAGCUUUUAUCGAGUCGAGUCUCGAGUAGCUCACGAAUAGCUUGGUUCAUUUACAGUCCUAACAAUUCCCUCCGGCAGAGACUCCAAAGAUCCACAAUUUUCCAUUCGUGCGGCAAACCCCCUGCGGGAAAGGAGACUAAACUCCUACAUUGGCUUAUUUUCAAAUCUUUGAGAGAUUUGAGGUCUUUCAGUCCACUUGGCAACUCCUUCAGAUUUGGAC
rnacentral:lncRNA from 1 species